UGUUUUUUUUUAUUUUGUGAAGCUUGAUUGACGACUUGUAUGUUUAAGUGGGAUAUCUCAUUUGUAUGGACAAAGUAAAAAAUAAUCAUGUUUUGCAUGCUUGAUUUGUAUAGAUGGUUCGUUUAUGUCAAUUGUGAGAGGAAGGAGGCCACAGAAGAGCCGGCCACAAAUCCGACAGGAAAUAGGGUCCAAAUUAGUCAAAUAAUUGAGAUAGAGCAUUUAUUGUCAAUCUAACCCUGUUUGGAUCAUGGGGUUAGAGCUAGUUUAGGUUAGUUGGGGGCUCAAAUAACCCAAAAGUAUCCAAACAGGGAGGGUUAGAGUGGGUUAGUUUCAUCUAGCCCAACUAUCCUGGUGGAGAGGUGCUUAUUUGGGUUAGAGUGGGUUAGAAAAUAACUCUGACUCUAACUGUGUUAGAGUAUCCAAACAGGGCCUUUGGUUUAGAGUUAGUUCAGGGUUAGAAUCUAACUAUAACCUCUAACUGAGUUAGAGUUCUCCUCGUCUCGGUUCAUCGCCAUCAUACUUUCCCCAUUCCUGUGUUUUCAGUAUCUUGUGAAUCAAAGAGGCCCUUUUUUGCGGGAAAAAUCAAAGAGGCUCUUAGACUGGUUUAGGUCCGGUCAUUUUUUAUAAACGUGUUAUGUCCAAAAUUUAAUGAACGUGCUUCAGUUUCCACGAAAAUAAUCCGGUUUCAUGUAGUAAUUCAUUCAUUUAUUUAUUCUUUCGCAGGGGGUUUGCAUGUAAUUCGUGAGGUCUGAAAUGUAAAGUACCACGGCAUAUGCUCCGAGUCGUGCAUGCACUACGACCCAGAUGCUCUAUGUUCCACAUGUCGGCGAAUGGGAGCAUGUGGAAAUAGCCUAGGAGUACAUAGGAGGAUAAAUGCGUGAAAAAUAUGUACUGUGAACUGUGAAGCGUAGCCGCGGUUCGAAAAGGAGACCUAAAGUGAUGACAUCUAUAGGUCGCAUGCAUCCAACUAGCGAUACUCCCUCCAUUUUUGUAUACAAGGCCACUAUCAAAAUUACAAUUUGCAACUAUACAAGGCCAUUAACAUCAAUCGAGGUAAAAUUAAUGAGGUUUGCCUCGUACUAGCAACCGAGGACAUUAAUACCCUUGCAUGCAUGUGGGAGUGAGAAGCUUGGUUUUCAUGUAUCACAUUAAUCAACCAACAAGGAGUGAGAGGGUUGUCUUGUUGUGCGUUGAAAAGAAAAAUACACAUUAAUUAACACGUCGAGCGAGGAGAAAAGACAAGCUUGCAACAUUGGCUUAAGUAAGCAUUAAUUUCUACCUUGGUACCUGUAAUAUGGGUUUGUGGCCUUGUAUACAAAAUGGAGGGGGUACUAGACAUACGACUAAUUUUUCCCUAAAAAAAAGAGGCACGGGUGCUCAGUACUCCUAUUCUAUAAACACGAGUCCCAUCAGACAACAGCGUCCGUGCUACAGCUAGCUCUCCUCCCUCGUUUCUCUCUUCUAAUUCUAAACUCGGCCGACACCCGGUGGGCGGGGUGGGUUUGCUCAACUGCGGCCCCACCUCACAGUCAAAACGUUACGACUGGAAUAAAAAUGCCAUAUACUCCCUCCAUUCAUAAAUAUUCCCUCCGUCCGGAAAUACUUAUCGAAGGAAUGGACGUAUCUAGACGUAUUUUAGUGUUAGAUACAUCCAUUUUUAGUCAUUUUUACGACAAGUAUUUCCAGACGGAGGGAGUAUAAGCCUUUUUAGAUACUAUUUCAAAUGGAAUACAACAUAUAGAUAUAUGUAGACAUGGUUCAGAGUGUAGAUUCACUCAUUUUGCUCCAUAUGUAGUAGUCACUUGCUGGAAUCUUUAGAAAGACUUAUAUUUGGGAACGGAGGGAGCACUAUACUAAUAAAACAUUAAGGCCACGAGGUGAUGCAGUGCUGGUUACAGGAGGCAAGAAGAAGAGAUGCAUCCAUCGACGACAUCCACCUCCUCGACUCAGGGCGCCGGCCCACCGAACGACACCUAAGUAGCAGCGGCUUUUGUGGACAGGUCGACGUGCUUCUGAAUAAUGGCGUCCAAAGAUUCCAGCCGCUGGAAGAAGGCCAACGUCUUUCUGUCCUCGCUUGCCUUGUAGUGGCCUAUGUAGACAAUUUCCUCGUAGACGUGGAUGUGCAGGUCGACGGUUUCUUGCAUGGCGAGGUGCUGCAUGGUGAGCGCGGCCUCGAGGUGCACAUUCUUCAUCGCGACCUCCGGCACCUGCAGGGCCACCAGGGCUUGAAAGAGUUCGUCACCAUGGAGGCCGAUGAGGGUGGUAGGCAAUGAGGAGCCUGGGCGCGUGGGCUGGAGCAGUACGGCAAGGUCGUCCGCGUGCUUCUUGACGGCGGUGAACUUGCGGAUGGAGUUAACCAUCAUGUCGUCCAUGCGAGAGGCGAAGCCGGCGUCGGCGAGGGCUACGAUGCCUGCGGUCGCCAGCACCGUCUGGAAACGCUGCAUGGUGCGGGGUCGCAGGCCGACGCCUUGGUUGAUUUGGUACAGCCGACUGCCGCUCGUGUCCAUGGCCUCCAUAGGUGCUUGUGGCUUCUGGUCACUUGGUCUUGGAUUGGAGUGAGCAAUGUUGCGCAGAGACUUGGGAGUAGAUGGAUUGGAGUGGUGGGGCGCCUUUAUUAUAUGAGAGUCCAAACUCUGUUGCAUUCACAUUGUGCUGGCUCUAUUCUGCUUCUCCAAUUAAUUCCCUCUGCAUGUAAUUGAGGAUGCAUCAUUGACCGUUCAACGUCUCGGGAACCGCUACCCUCUCCUUCCUUGGCAUUCAAGCACCUAUGGACCCGUCGACGACGAGGUGCCUAUGGUGACUUCGUAAAUUUCAAGAUGAUAGUGCGGUGCGUGUGUGCGUUCAUAGGGGUGAGUGUAUGUGUGUGUAUAUGAGCGCUUGCGUUUGUACUGUGUAAAAAAACCGUAAAUGCGUGUCAAAAAGAGACUAGUCAGUAUAGUCAAUAUUGUGCACCUCGGAGAGGAAAACGAUAAAACUAGUACGUAUUUAUUUACGGUGCAGAUUCACUCAUUUUGCUCCAUAUGUACUCCGUCUUGGUGUAGUCUAGUCACUUGUUGAAAUCUCUAGAAGGGUAAAUACUCCUUUCUGGUUUACAGGGCUGUACUAGCAAGUAGUUGUAGUACAAUAGUGGGCUCACAUAGCAAUUUUGUCUCAUGCAACGUUCGGUUUGCGCUUGGCUCUUCGCCUCUUCGAGAAGACGAACAAUAAUGUUACUACUGCUGCUUCUAUAGUGUCGAAUCCACUGCUGCAUGUCCGUCCAUCGCGAGUGGGACGGAUAGCUUGUUGUAUACUACUAAGAAAAAGCCUGUCCUCAUUUGCGAGCAACCGCGCGCAUGGGCGAGGGAGAAGGUGUGUAGUAAAAUCAAGCUUCUCCUCGUUGUGCGAGUUGACGCGACACAUCAUAGCACUGGCCCCACAUGCUUGCCUUUAAACUUGGCUGAAAGACUCGUAGUGUACAAUAUAUUUGCUGCAACCUCUAACAUUUACCCACCACAAAUUAAAAUAUAUGUGGCCGUAUGCAUCGUUCUGAUGCAGAGGCCGGGGAGUCCCCCCUUUUCGAAAAAAACAAAUUAACAUAUAUAUUCCUGUCUUGACCAGAUGAGCGUGAAAACUACAAUCACCAGGGUGACAGGUAGGGCCAGAAGACUAUUUUUUUAAAAAAACUUCAAGACGGCCACAUAGCAUGGAGCCGACCCAAACGAUUUUAAGCUUACAAGCACGGUACACGCUAUCCUAGACUACUCUACACAUGAAACUGCCACACGAGCGUCCGGGCUGCGCUUGGCUCUUCGCCUCUUCGGGAAGUCGAACAAUGAUGGAGUACUACUGCACUGGAGGAGUACUACAGUACGCUUCUGGCCAUCUGACACCGAUUGAACUGCUGCAUGUCCACCGCGUGCGGGAGGGAGAGCGUGUAGCGAAAGCUUCUCUUGCCAACCACCACGCUCAUAGUCUUGCCAGCCACCACGCUCAUGGGCAAGGGAGGGACACUCCUGCCUUUGCGUGUAUGACAUGUGGGCCCGAGAGGUGGCUGGCCAACCUGUCAUACAGCCAAAGGGAGGUGCAGUUAAGUCUGCGAGGGAGAGGAUAAUCAAACUUCUCGUUGAUGUAUGAGUUGACGCGACACAUCAAAGCACUGCACUCGAUAUAUUUCAAUAAUUUGCGGCUACCGAUGCAUUAAUUACACGCAUGCAUGCAUGCCGUGACUCUCCUUUUGAUACUUGCAUGUGUUGAUUUAAUGCACCUUGAAAUAGUACUCCCUCCGAUUCCUUUUACUUUGCGUAUAACUUUUUCUUGUUUUUCUCAGAUUAGUCUGCGCGUCCGCGUUGGUUUCCAUCUGUGCCCCCGCUCGAUUAGUUCUGCCCCCAUUAAUCGCGCCAGUUUCCAAAGCAGAAAAUGGCUAUAGGCAAACGCAUGCAGCACCAGAUGCGGCUUGACCGCCUGGGGAAGCCAACUCAAGCGAAAAUGAAGGAGGACCAGCCAACCAUUGCAUGUGCAUUUACUGUCGAUAUUUAAGCAGCUUACUCAUGCAUAGGGGCAAAUUUGUCCAGAAAACUCAAACUACUGCCUUCCUUGGUAUGCGGGAGGAGAGGUGUGCGCAGAGUAUAAAAUAUGUGAUGGUAAAGCUUUGUAAUGCCCCGGCCCAAGCGAGAGAUGGUUGUGCACGAGGAGGGCGAGAUCAUGCAGACGGAACAGGAACCGACGAGGGAGCUCACUAAGGUCUCCAUGGACCUCACCGUGCUCCACUGCCCCUUGUGCCUCCGUCCCUUGAUGCCUCCAGUGUAUGAGGUUUGAAUACACCUCGUCCGUUCGGCUGAUUGAGCAAGGUGCAGGUUUCUUGAUUGAUGUGCUAUUCGAUUGAUUUCUGCAGUGCAAGGGAGGGCACCUGGCCUGUGCGGGAUGUCGCAUCGAGCACCCCGGGAACCAGGGGCAGUGCCAGAAGUGCUUCGACAUGUGGAGCACGGCGGUGGAAGCCGUCGUUUCGUCGCUGAGGGUGGUGUGCCCGCAUGAAGGCUGUGGGCUCUAUGUCGCUUACCACAAGCUCGCCGAUCACCAGAGCGUGUGUCCGCUCGCGCCCUGCAAAUUCCCCGUGCUCGUCUGCGGCUACGAAGGCCCGCCGCCAGCGCUCUACCACCACAUCAGCAACGCGCAUCCCAUGCCCGUGCACAGGAUCCAGUACGGCAAGGUGCUCCAGCUGCAAGUGCCACUGUCGGAGCCACGACUCUUGCUGUUCGCGGAGGAGGAUGGUCGCGCGUUUUUCUUGGUCAACGGCGUGCUCGACAUCGGCGGGCCUAUCGCCGUGUUGGUGGUCUGCAUCAGAGCGGGGGCGUCCCCACUACCGCACUACGUGGCCAAGCUAUGGGCGAACGGCCCGCCGGGGGAGCCCAAAGGCACGUCCGACGCCAUCAAGGUGGAAAUGGAGGUGACAAGAAGCAAGGAUCCCGGCGACGUCGACGUGCAUGAGCUGACCUUCUUCACAGUUCCGCCGAAGCUACUGGCCGGGGCUAAGCUGGUGUCCCUCCACAUUCGGAUUGACAAGCUCACGUCCUAAAUGUUUCUACAGUGCCUUCUAUUUAUCUUAGUAAUAUGCUAAUAUAGGGAUUACCUCGGUCUACUUUAGCUUAAGAAAUGGUGGGUUUUGGUGGCGAUGCAGCAAUUACUUCGACAUCAGAUCAGUAAUUUCCAACAGUCGAACGGAUAUUUUGUGUCUGUUGGAUAUAAAGUUCCUUUGGGUAAGAAGUACUAGAUAAAAGGAGAUGUAUGUAGACAUAUUUUAGUUUUAUAUACGUCCCUUUUUAUCCAUUUUGAUGACAAGCACUCCCUCCGUUCCACAAUACAUGCCUUCCAUUUGUCAAAAUAUAGAUAUAUCUAGACAUGUUUUUAGUAUAUAGGUACAUCAAUGAUAGAGCCAGUCAGAUGGUUGAGAACACUACAAUUCGUAGCUACAAAUGCGUGUGUUACUCCCAGAUGCAGAAGCCGGGGGUCAUCAUCCUCCUUUUCAAGAAAAAAUAGAUGCGCGUGUGAGAGGAUGAGUGCGUGCGUGCACCUCUUCUCUUCAUGUAUAAUGUACUAAACUCAGAGUACAAGUUUUUGUGGGUGGCACGAUGGUGCGUGCGAGAAGUCCCGAGAGAUAGGUUUAAUGCGUCUAAAAAAAGACUACCCUAUAGCUCGUCACGCGGCUAUUCCUGUCGAACGCCCCAUUAACCGUAAGACAUGUAUACGACGGUGCCAGUUAUUGCACGUACACAGUAGAAAAAGUACACCACGGCUAAGAACACGUGCCCAUGUAACGCCAUCCGGGAAUAGUGCCACACUUCGGAACUAGAACCGUCAAUAAAUUUUGAGCUUGCGUCUCAUCACAUUCCAAAUUACUCCAUGCUAUAUUGAAUUGCAAACCUGUUCACACCGAUCACAACCUAAACGGUUUCCCACUUAGGAGCGUAUUAGUACUCGGUUAUAAAUACUAGUAUGCCAAGAUGACUGCACAUUCCUCCUCAACUCCUCAUCCACAAAAACAAACAAGUCAUUCAGCAUCCUUCCCUUGCGUCUGCCAUGGCCAGCGUGAGUUCUGGGUCGAGAGAUUGCCACCAGGGAGAGGCGAGUAUGGAUGCGGAAGCACGAGAGAUGUCCCGCCUCGCUGCGAAAGCAGUCGACAUGUCCCGCCGCGUGGAAGUAGCAGCAAAGAGGUCCCGCCGCGCCGCUGAAGCAGCACGGAGGUCCCGCCGUGUCGUCGAUGCAGCAGACUGGUCCGGCCGUGCCACGGAAGCAGCAGAGAUGUCCCGCCACGCCGCGAAUGCAGCAAAGAUUUCCCGCCGCGCCGUGGCAGCCUGGGAAAAUUUCUCGUGGGCAGGCGACGACUGUUACAGGCGCAUGCAUGCGAUCGUCCAUAGCCAGAUGGAUCAGAUCUCCGGCUGGGCGAGGUUGCAGGAUGACAUGAAAGCCUCAUUUGAACAGGCUACCGACGUCAUCCGGCAACUAAGGGAGGGCAAUGAGAGGCUCCGGGCUGAGCGCGACCUGGUGAGGGCGAAGAUCGUCCGAAGUGCAGACCAGUAGGAGGAGACCAGUGCCUUGUUGAAGAGGACCGGCGUCAUCAUCAAGAAACUUAUGGACGAGAAUGACAUGCUCCGCAUCGAGCGCCAAAGGCUGGUGGAGGAAUCCGUGGAUGUUCUCAAGCAGCGUCUUGAGGACACGAAAGAGCUCAUCGCCGCUCGCCGUGGAGACUAGUUCCUGCGGCCUGCAGCAACGCAUCAAGAAAGUAGAGAUCAGCAAGCCAGAUCCUUGUCUUCCUUCUUCUUUUGCCCUUGUGUAUUUCGGGCAUAGCCGCAUGUGGCUUUUUUAAUUAUCUUUCUAAUUAUGUAAGAUAAUUAAUUGUCCUUAUAUAUUCAUCAGUCUUGUUAUAAGUCGCAGUAGAUGUUAUAUAGGUCCGUCGGAUCUUACAUCAAGAUCCGUGCUUUCAGAUUUUCUUUUUUCUCUCUUAAAUCUCAGUCGAGUGAGACAUAGCCAUGCCAUUAAAUAGAGGCUCGGGCGCCAUUAAUGGAGACCUUGGGAGAGAGGUAGACGGCAGAUGGAGGUCAAAGGGCUCUCCUCCCGAUAAGCACGCGCAUGGGUGUGAUCGCACGCCUCUUGUACUCAAAUAGCUACCCUGCACGGCGCCUCCUAGCUAAUAAAAAAUGGGGACGUGUGGCGGCACAUAAAUGGUAGUAAAUAGAACGCCCACGGUUUCAAUAAUACUUGUGUUUCCGAUUGUAACAUGACAACACUUGUUCCAAAAUGACUUUAUUGAUUGUUAAUGUGUGCGCCAUCGCAAAUCGGACAUGGCACCAAGCCAAGUUUCAUUAUUUUCAUGCGUGUUUUGGAUUUACAGGAAUUAAAAAACUAAGUUUCUCAAUGUUUCCAGCCGAGCCACGACGCCCAGAAUUUUGAAUUACAUUCCCAUUUCUUGCAUGGAACAUAGAAAUUUACCCGAGGACACACAUGUGAUUUUUCAACCAACUUUGGUGCACUGGAACUUGUGCUUGUAUUUCAAAUUUGAAUUAUGCACACAAAGGUGACACGUUCCCUCUGAGAACCACGAGCCUUCUUGAGAGAAGCUCCGAUUUGCAAGAAGCUUAUACCCAAAUAUGUUCCUAUUCGGCCAAUUUCUUUUACCAUGGCAUGGUACUACCAUGACAUGACACCAUGCCAAGUAUCAUGAUUUUAAAACCAAGUUUCUCAAUGUUCUCGACCGAGCCACGAUGCCCAGAUGUUUGAAUUUUAUUCUCAUUUUUUGCAUGGGACCUAGAAAUUCACCGGAGGACACAAAUGUGAUUUUUCAACCAAAUUUGGUGCACGGGAGCAUGUGCUUGUAGUUCAAAUUUGAAUUAUGCACAUUAAAUGACCAAAAACUCAAUUAAUGUGUAAAAAAGGCCAAACGAAGCCGGAAUGAUUUCCAAAAUUUAACAGGGCACUCAUGUAGUUCUAUGUUGCCUUUGUAAAUAAACUCAAGGGGGACAACGUAUAUCGUUUCGCACUCAAAGGUGGCACGUUCCCUCUCAGAACCACGAGCCUUCUUGAGAGAAGCUUCGGUUUGCAAGAAGCUUAUACCAAAAUCUGUUCCUAUUCAGCCAAUUCUUUUACCACAACAUGGUAGUACCAUGACACGACACCCAUGCCAAAUUUCAUGAUUUUCAGACGUGUUUUGGAUUUACAAGAAUUUAAAAUCCAAGUUUCUCAAUGUUCUCGGUCGAGCCACGAUGCCCAAAUGUUUGAAUUCUAUUCUCAUUUCUUGCAUGGGACCUAGAAAUUCACCCGAGAAUUCACCCGAGGACACAAAUGUGAUUUUUCAACCAACUUUGGUGCACGAGAGCAUGUGCUUGUAGUUCAAAUUUGACUUAUGCACAAUAAAUGACCAGAAACUCAAUUAAUGUAUAAAAAACGACAAACGAACCCGGAAUAAUUCCAAAAUUUAACAGGGCACUCAUGUAGUUCUAUGUUGCCUUUGUUAAGAAACUCAAGGGUGGGGGGGCAGCGUAUAUCGUUUCACACUCAAAGGUGGCACAUUCCCUCUUAGAACCACGAGCUUCCAAAUCGGCCCAAUUUUUUACCACAACAUGUUAGUGCCAUGACAUGACACCAUGCCAAGUUUCUUGAUUUCCAGACGAGUUUUGGAUUUACAUGAAUUUAAAAUCUAAGUUUCUUGAUGUUCUCGGCCGACUCACGACGCCCAGAUGUUUGAAUUUCAUUCUCAUUUCUUCCAUGGGACCUAGAAAUUCAACCAAGGACACACAUGUGAUUUUUCAACCAACUUUGGUGCACCGGAGCAUGUGCAUGCAGUUCAUAUUUAGAUUAUGCACUUUAAAAGUCCAGAAACUCAAUUAAUGUAUAAAAAGGCCAAACGAACCCGAAAUAAUUCCAAAAUUUAAUAGGGCGCUCAUAUAGUUCUAUGUUGCCUUUGUAAAGAAAAUCAGGGGGGAGGCAGCAUAUAUCGUUUCGCACACAAAGGUGACACGUUCCCUCUCGGAACCACGAGGCUUGUUGAGAGAAUUUCCGGUUUUGCAAGAAGCUUAUACCAAAACUUGUCCCAAUUCAGCCAAAAAUUAUACAUAUGAAAACAGGGUUUAGAUUAUCCCAAACAUCUCGCUACCUAGACCAAUAAUGUACUAUGAUUUGAAUUCAACAUAAAACAGAUACAAUAUUUGAAUUGGAGAGCGUAUGGUACAUGUAAUUCAUAGUGAAAUAUGAUUACUGCUAUAUGCAUGUUUUUUGUUAUCAAGAUAAUAUUUAAAUUAUUGUAUAACUUGAAAACAAUCGUAUUCAAAUAAGGAAAAUUGAUUCAAAUUUAGUCCAUAUGGUAGACGACAAUAUAUAUGUUCACAUGGUGGAGUAAAAUGUUCAUAGAUGAUGGAAGAUCAAAAUGUACGACUACAUCAAUUAUAAACCGCAAGGUCACCUAACGAUAUAUUUGAAUUCAACAUAACGUGGAUUCAAAAAUUGAAAUUCGAGAUCAUGGCAUCUGUAAUCAUAUAAUAAGGGACAUUACUCUUUCUUUGGUGGGAGUUGAUUUGUUUUUUGUUGUUGUUGAGGGAAGUGCGAAUCGAUUUGGUACUGUGCAGGGUAAUCUUGUUCUCCCAAUUGUUUUUACAUUUUUCUUGUAGUUUUUUCAAUGGCAUCUAUAGCAAUAUAGUAAAAGGGGACAUGACUUUCUUGUGUCUUGUUUGAAUUGUUUUUUUACAUGUUAAGUUUGUUCUGCCGAACAAGGAAUCUGCACCUUGUUAUCCCGAAAUUUUCAAGCUCGAGUAUCUUUUGUCUCACCUGCUUUGAAACUCCCGCUUCUUCAACCCGCGCCGCGCCUUCUUAUCCCAAAAUUUGGACGCGCGCGAGAACUCCCUCCUCAUCCGAAAUUGCUCUUGCGGCCCAGACACGCGAAAUCCCCCUUCUACCCCUCAGCCGGAAAUGAAGCUCCACGUCGCGGUGUCAAAACCGGUGGGGGUAUGCUGGUAACUUACCCUACAUUUCGGACAAGCACGCCCCUAAGCUUGGCUCCCCCCUCCCCCUUCGCCCCCUCCCCCCAUUCGUACACCGAGGCCGCCAAAACCCGCGAAAACCCACGCUCCUCCGUCGGCCUCCCGACCGCCGCCCAGCCAGAGACUCUUCCCGACUAUGUCGUCCACCGCAACAGCUCGUCGUCCCUCAUCCACCGCACCGGAUGAGGACCCGUUGUCGAUCUCGUUGUCCCGUCGGAUUAGCCACCCCGUCCUCCACCUCCAAGGAGCUGCCCCGAUGUUCGCCUCGUCUAUCGUGCCACCUCAAUCCCCACAGCGUCGUCUUGACCUGCCCCACUGGAACCGCAGCACCCUCACCAAUUCCUCCGAUGAAGCAGAGGCCAACUCGGCGCCACCAAGGAGGUUCUGCACUUACCGCUGCAUUUUAUCUUUUAUUCGAUCUCAUGGGGCUGCCGGUGCUCGAUAUCGAGCAGACAUGGCGGGUUUCCAUCGAUGGUGCCGCCACCGGCCACAUCAUCCAUGGCGUCUCUCCCCCAUGUUGUUGCUUCCUCGACGGAGACUUCCACAACAGCACUAGCUACAGCUGCUCCGGCUCUCACUCGCAUUGCGGCUCUGUUCUUGCUGUCGGUCGCGCUGCUGCACUGCUCCUGCUUUCGUUCGUGCUGCUGCUCUGCUCUUGCUCUCGCUCGCGCUGCUGCUGCUGCACGACAUCUGGCAGCUACAGGAGUUGCUGCUUUAGCACUCGCUCGCGGUGCUACUGCACGACUUGCUCUCUGCUAGUGUGUUCCCUGCUCGAGCGUCUGCUGAUUUAGACCACUGCUUCUCUGCUACUAGUGCUCGAACGCCCUAAACAUCUAUUGCAAUGCUCUGUUACUAGUUCAAUCAGUUUCGACAGUAAAAUUCAGUUUCGACUGUGAAGUUCAUUUUCUUCAGUUAAGUUCACAGUGAAUAGUACUUACAGCAUCUGUCUGAUGCGUUUUACAUCUAGCACUUUUUGGUGAUGUAUUUUACAUCAUCUAUUGCAGAUGAUAUUAGGGUCCCACUUCAGAUUAACAUUGUCUGUCUUGUCAUUCUUCAGCCUCGUCACCGUACACCUUAGCGGAGCUGCUCCAACGAUGGAACCGUCCAUCACAGUGGAGCAGUACCCUCGGCGCCGUUUCCAGAGGCCUCGGAUCUUCUUCCCCGCCUCCGACAGUCACACCAGCAUCAUCACCAUCCUCCACGUCCAACCCAAUGAUGCUAAGGUCCACAAGGCUAUGCCAAAGAGGUUGUACACUCGUCGCAUCACUUUGUUUCUCCAUUCCUCUGUUCUUCCAAUUCGUGUGAGCCAAACACCCAGGUUGACUGAAAUCCUAUGUUUCCAAAUGCUCUGUUUUGCAUGUGCAUUCCUAUCAUAUUCAUGUGUUUUUCCUGUCCCUGCAUUUAUAGAAUCCUCCAAUUCUAAGGAGCCCUUACAGAUUUACUUCAUUUUCAGAUAGGCGUCAAAGAAAAUUCUGUGUUAUGUCCUGCUCCUGCCGUGCCAUCAUCCACCCCACCUGAGGUGCACCAUCGACAGAAGCGUUCACUGCAGCAGAGAUCCCCCUGCAGACUUUCUUUUGCCGCCUCAGAUCAUCUUCCCCGUUGCCGGCAACCACGCCAACUGCAUUACCAUCAUCGACUGAGCAAAUGAACCUGAGGACUACACAGUUCCGAAAGAGAGGUCGCAGUCUUUCAUGUUUGCUACGUUAUACAUCGGUUAUUAUUACCUGCUACUUUAUCGUUCAAUCUUGAGUUUUGAAUUGCCCAUGGGUCUCAUAUCGAGCCAGCAACGAAUAGUAUCUGUCAACUAUCUGGUUCAUCUGGGGUCUUCUAUGUGGUUCAUGUUGGGUGGGCAACAAAUAAUAGAUGAUCCAUUGUCUAUCUUUUUAAACUGAAGCUAUAAUCUACCUGCUAUCAUUAGUUUUGGAUCCAUCCACUCGUUUGCUACCAUCAGUCUGGAUUUUUGCAUGCACCCCUUAGGCCUUACAAAAUCUAACUAUUUUUUGAUUAUGCAUGUCAGAUAUUGUACACAAUCGUACUGAACAUGUAGAGAAAAAGAGAAGACCGUUGCGUGCGAAUAUAAUGUCAAGAAAACACCGCUCCAUGGUGGGCGAAGUGGCCCCCCUCCUGCAUUUCCAGAUUGUAUUCCAGAGGAAGAUAACUGUUCAUAUGGAGAUUCAGAAGGAGCCGACCACGCCUGUUUACCACCUGAGGUGUUUGCUCUAACCUGGCAUGCUGAUGUUGGUCAUAUCAUGCAUAUGGCGCCUUGCAUUGCUUACAUUAUACAUCUUAUAUGUCACCAGCUUAGUUUAGAUUUGCUUUGUGUGAAUGCCACCUAUUUGGUUUCUAUAUCAUACUCCCACCAUUCCUAAAUAUUUGUCUUUUAGAGAUUUCAACAAGUGACUACAUACAGAACAAAAUGAGUGAAUCUACACUCUAAAAUAUGUCUAUAUACAUCCGUAUGUGGUAGUCCAUUUGAAAUCUCUAAAAAGACAAAUAUUUAGGAAUGGAGGGAGUAUAUGGGAAUUAUGCAAUGCCAUCUUCUUUAGCUAGGAAUCAUAUACGUGAAUCAUGCAAUGCCAUCCUGUUUAGGCAGUCAUCGUAUAUGUGAAUUGUAUCGUGCCAUAUUUUUUUCCAUAAUAUAUUCCAUUUGUCAACAAUGUUUAUACAUUCAUCUACUCUUCCUGUGCAUCAGCCAUUUGAGUCGGUCAUGGGAAAAUCUGGAGUGAAAACAAGGUCUUCUGAGCAGUCAGUGCUACCUGUCGAUGCAGAUUUCUUGCUGGUUACAGAUAGCUCCUNNNNNNNNNNNNNNNNNNNNNNNNNNNNNNNNNNNNNNNNNNNNNNNNNNNNNNNNNNNNNNNNNNNNNNNNNNNNNNNNNNNNNNNNNNNNNNNNNNNNNNNNNNNNNNNNNNNNNNNNNNNNNNNNNNNNNNNNNNNNNNNNNNNNNNNNNNNNNNNNNNNNNNNNNNNNNNNNNNNNNNNNNNNNNNNNNNNNNNNNNNNNNNNNNNNNNNNNNNNNNNNNNNNNNNNNNNNNNNNNNNNNNNNNNNNNNNNNNNNNNNNNNNNNNNNNNNNNNNNNNNNNNNNNNNNNNNNNNNNNNNNNNNNNNNNNNNNNNNNNNNNNNNNCUAACUUGGCUGGGUUAUAUUGCUCAUAUCAUGCAUAUGGUGUCUUGCAUUGCCAUGCCAUCUGCUUAGAUUAGACAUGCUUUGUGUGAAUGCCUCCUGUUUGCUUUCUAUAUCAGAUAUGUGAAUUAUGCAAUGCCAUGUUUUUUAGCCAGUUAUCAUAUAUGUGAAUUAUGCACCGCCAUGGAGCCAGGCAUCAUAUAUGUGAAUUAUCUCAUGCCACAUUUUUUCCUUAUGUAUUCCAUUUGUCGACAAUCUGUGUAUAUUGAACUACUCUUCAUGUGUAUCAGCCAUUUGAGCCGGUUAUGGAAAAAUCUGGAGUGAAAACAAGGUCUUCGGAGCAGGCAAUGGUACAUGUUGAAGCAUAUAUCUCUAUGGUUACAGGGAGCUCCUCAGAGGAGGAUUCAGAGACAGAUGACCAGUCCUAUAUCGCACCUGAAGUGUAUGCUCUAAGUUGCAAUGUUUAUAUUUCUCAUAUGAUGCAUAUGGUGUUUUGCAUUGCUUAGUUUAGACAUCAUAUGCACAAUAUUGAAUUCUAUCUGCUUAGUUUAGAGAUCAUACAUGCGAGUGCCAGCUGCUUAGUAUAUGAAUCAAUUAUGUCAAUUAUAUCAUGCCAUCCUGUAUACUUAGACAACAUGUAUGUGAAUUAUUUCAUCCCAACCUAUUUUAGAAAGACAUCAUAUAGUUUUGUCAUGUCAUCCUGUUUAGGUACUCAUCAUAUGUUGAAUUAUGCCAUUAUAUCCUGUUAAGUUAUCCAUCAUAUAUCUGAAACUGUGUCAUGCUAUCCUGUUUAGUUUGGCAUCAUAUAUGUGAAAUUGUGUCAUGUUGUCCUGUUUGGUUAGACAACAUAUAUGUGAAUUACCACAUCUGUCUAUCAUACAAUGUAUGUGCGUUCAAUUUCUUUUCUUGUUUAUUAGCCAUUUGAAUUGGAGGGGGUGAUGGCAGUAUCUAAGGGAGCAAAAACCCGUUCUUCACAAAAGAUAGUGCUACCCGUUGAUGCAGAUAGAACCAUGGUUGUACUGGCCCACAAACUAGCCCCACCACACAUAACCGAGACUCUUCCAGAUUGCACACUUACACCAUUGGGAAGAGAACUAGCUACAACCCAUCUAACCGCAACCCCAGCGGAUAGUAACCCACUUAUAGUUGACAAAGCACCAUGUCCACCACAGAGUACCCCCACACGAGCAGUUUGUAAAGCUACUGCAGUGCCCAAAGCACGAAGACCACCACAGCUAACCCAAACUCCACCUUUAAAGUAGAAGAGCAACUGUUCUCAGGUUAGAUUCCGUAGCUAUGGUCCAUACUCCUUUGUUGUUGCAUCACUAUAUUUACUCAUACCAACUACUUUCGAAUUUGAAGGAUCCAAAUGAAACUCCAAUGGCGCAACAUGUAUGUUUUAAACCUAUUUCUUUAACUGGAUUGCUGUUCUAACUUCUUCCUCUAUGUUGAUUUCAGUUUAAGUUGUAUAAACAGUUAUGUUCUCAUGUGAUGCACAUUACAAGUGCUGCCAAUGUUGUGUAGUUUCUCACACUUAUAUUCUAUCUAUGCUGUUGUGUCUUAAAAAUAAAUGAGUUGAACUGUGUCUCUAUCUUGAUUAGGGAACAUAAACUAGAAUGAUAUGGACAAUAUAGUGACCAUAGUACAUAGAUAUAUGUUUGUUUCAUGCUGUUAUCCUGUCCACCUUACUACUGAACCGGUUUACCAAAAUGAGUUUCGUAUACUACAAGCUAAACCUGUGAUGUGUCUGCUUGUUUCUCUUGUAGUAUGCAAACAGAAUAUUGAAGAAGAGUACCCCACUAUGCAAUGGUAGAGAAAGUAAUGCAGAUAAGGUUCAAGAUAGUGAGAAAACCCUGUUGGUCUCCAAGAAAGGUGAUAAAAAUGAUCUUGUAGACAGUGAGAAAACCCCACAGUCCUGCGUUGAUGUAGUGAUCGAGUUACUGGCCAGUACCGCUGGCACAAGCUCUUCGAACUCGCUGCCUUAAUCACUUCGGCUUCUUCAGUCUCAGCUACAAGCUGAAAGGCAUCAGUCAGUUGUGCUGCGGCAAGAAGCCGAAGGACUGAGGAAGUCCCUGCAGAAUUCAGAUGUGUACUUUCUUGUGCAACAGCAAGCGCUGGAGAAUUUAAGCGCCAAACAAGAGAAAGUUAAUAAGCUUGCUAAGCAUCUUGCCAGCAUUAUGGGUACCCAGGAUAUUGUUUCUUGAACUCUUCUGAAGUGGUCUCAGUUCUGGACUUGUUUUGCUGCGGCAUUUAUAUGCUGCUUUGUUCCCUGUAUUUUCACUGAUGCCCAGUGGAUGUAAUAUGUGUAUUAGCUGUGAUAGCCUAGCAUAAGUUGCUUGCUUAUUUAUUUCCUUGUUGUCUUGUUUAUUUAUUUGCUUGUAGUCAGUGCAGUUCUUUUUUCGCGGUUUGCUAGUGGCUGCAAUAACCUAUUUUUUUAAAACUAGGCCACAAUAACCAUGGGCUAAUAUUUACUGUAGUGACACUGGGCCUCCUACGCGCCGUAGAAACAGUGGGCCUUCUAUGGGCCGUAGAAACAGUAGGCCUUCUACGGGCCGUAGAAACAACGGGCCUUCUACGGGUCGUAGAAACAAUGGGCCUUCUACGGGUCGUAUCAUCAAUGGGCCUUAUAUAGGCCGUAUGAUUGGCCAAACAUGGGCCAAUAACAAGCCGCAUUAUGGCCGUAAAUGGGCUAGAGUUAGAAUCAUCCAUUCAUGGGCCGAACAUAACGGGCCAUCGUUAAUAGGCCGUAUUUGAUGACGCUAUGAAAACGGCCCAACGUAUUAACGGACCACAAACGGGCCGACUGUAACCACGGGCUGAAUUUGGCCCACAAGCAGAAAAUGACAGUAACGGGCAGUAAGUAAACGAAUGCUGGAAAUGAGCCCAAGAAUAAAUGGGCUCUGAGAAGGCCGAAAUAUAACAUGGGCUGGAAACGGCCCAACGGAAUAACGGGUCGUUAAUGGGUAUAAAGUGAUGCACUGUUCAUUACGGGCCAGUUUCACCACGGGCCGUUAAUGGGUGUAAAGUGAUACACUAUUCAUUACAGGCCAGUUUCACCACGGACCGUUAAUAGUCCAAGAGUUACAUAGGGCCUCAUAUGGGCCGAAAGACGUCAUGGGCCAUACAUGGGCUAGAAGUGAAACCGGGCUAGAAUCAUAUUGGAUGGCCCAGAUGACGCUACUGGGCCUAAUUCGGAUAGGGCGUAACGGGCCUUGGGUUAGCGGGUUGUAAAUGGGUUAUAUGCAAACAGGCCGUUAACAGGCUUUCCAUGGGCCGGGCCGCCACCUUUUGACCAAGUCAAACAGGCUGGCCUUUUCAUAGGAAUGGGCCUCUGUUGGGCUGUGCCACGUGUCAACGUAUCAUAGGCGACUUAUGUCCAAUGAGUGUAUGACAUCUGUCCCAACGAUGAGCCGACACGUGUUUCCUCCAGCCAAUGAUGAUUUUACAUGUGGAAAAUCCCCAUUGGUCGGGGCUGUUAACGGGUUAUCGGAUCCAAAACCCGACCCGAUAGCUUAACGGUGUUCCAUUACGGUGGAUGCCACGUGUUGGUCACCCUUGACGAAAGCACUUCUGUGACGCGCGAUUUAUCAUCAUGGAAGUGGACACUUCCGUGAUGAUAAUUUUGGUAAUGUCAUGGAACACCUCUAUGACAGCACAAGUAUGACUAUCUUGAUUCUGUCAUAAAUUUGUCAUCGAUGUACAUGCAUGACAAAAAACGCGACCUACUGUGACAAACACGUAUCAUCAUGGAAGUGUAUUUUUUUGUAGUGCACCGAUAGGACAACGGAAAUCUACUCAGACAUCAUAGGAUGGCAACACAUCAUUGGAUAAUAAUAUGAAGCAUAAAGCACCAUGUUCAAGUAGAGGGUACAGAGGGUUGCGGGAGAGUGGACCGCUGGAUAUAGAUGGGGGAAGGUCAUGGAGAUGUUGGUGAAGAUGGCGGAGGUGUUGGUGUAGAUCACGGUGAUGAUGAUGGCCCCCGGCGGUGUUCCGGCGCCACCGGAAGCUCCCCCCCCCCUUCUUCUUAUUCUUCCUUGACCUUCUCCCUAGAUGGGAGAAGGGUUUCCCCUCUGGUCCUUGCCUCCCAUGGCGUGGGAGGGGCGAGAGCCUCUCCGAGAUUGGAUCUAUCUCUCUGUCUCUCUCUGUUUCUGCGUUCCCUGAUUCUGCCCCUUCACCAUUUCUUUUAUAUUCGGAGAUCCGUAACUCCGAUUAGGGUGAAUCUUUCGCUCAGAUCUUUCUCAUAAAAUUAGCUUUCUUGUGGCAAAAGAAGAGCAUAAACCGCCUAACGGGGCCCCCAACAGGGUCCAGGGCGCGCCUGCCUCCCUGGGGCUCGCCCCCUGUCUCGUGGCCCCCUCGGGCACCGUCUCGCAUUGAUUUUUCCUCCCAAAAAUCGCAAAUAUUCCAAAAUAAUUCUCCAUCUGUUUUUAUCCCAUUUAGACUCCGUUUGAUAUUGUGUUUCUGUGAAACAUAAAACAUGCAACAAACAGGAACUGGCACUAGGCACUGGAUCAAUAUGUUAGUCCCAAAAAUAGUAUAAAAAUUGCCAAAAGUAUAUGAAAGUUGAAUAAUAUUGGCAUGGAACAAUUAAAAAUUAUAGAUAUGACGGCGACGUAUCAGCAUCCCCAAGCUUAAUUCCUGAUCGUCCUCGAGUAGGUAAAUGAUAAAAAAGAUAAUUUUUGAUGUGGAAUGCUACCUAGCAUAAUCUUGAUCAUAUAUCUAAUCAUUGCAUGAAUAUUAAGACAUGAGUGAUUCAAAGCAAUAGUCUAUCAUUUGACAUAAAAACAAUAAUACUCAGGGCAUCCCAACAAACAAUCAUGUCUUUCAUAAUAUCAAUGCUUCCAGAAUGUUAUCCCUACAAAAUCAUAUAGUCUUGUAUGCUCCCUUUUCUUAACACAAGGUACCCCUCAUGCCUAUCCCGGUGUCAGCCAAGCAAUUGUUACAUACUCUAGUAUUCCCAAAAUUUGUCAACUCUCACACAAUACAUGAGCGUGAGCCAUGGAUAUAGCACUAUGGGUGGAAUAGAAUAUGAUGGUGGAGGUUAUGUGGAGAAGACAAAAAGGAAGAAAGUCUCACAUCGACACGGCUAAUAAAUGGGCUAUGGAGAUGCCCAUCAAUUGAUGUCAAUGCAAGGAGUAGGGAUUGCCAUGCAACGGAUGCACUAAGAGCUAUAAGUGCAUGAAAGCUCAAACUGAAAACUAAGUGGGUGUGCAUCCAACUUGCUUGCUCAUGAAGACCUAGGGCAUUUGAGGAAGCCCAUUGUUGGAAUAUACAAGACAAUUUCUAUAAUGAAAAUUCCCACUAGUAUAUGAAAGUGACAAUAUAGGAGACUCUCUAUAUGAAGAACAUGGUGCUACUUUGAAGCACAAGUGUGGAAAAAGGAUAGUAACAUUGCCCCUUUUCUUUUCUUCUUUUCUUCUUUUUUUUCUUUUUUGGGUGGGCUUCUUUGGCCCCCUUUUUUUAUUUAGGCUUCUUUGGCCUCUCUUUUUCUUGUUGUUUUUCUUUUUUUCAUGGGGCAAUGCUCUAUAAUGAUGAUCAUCACACUUUUAUUUACUUACAACUCAAUAUUACAACUCAAUACUAGAACAAAGAUAUGACUCUAUACGAAUGCCUCCGACGGUGUACCGGGAUGUGCAAUGAUCUAGUGUAGCAAUGACAUCAAACGGACAAGCCAUGAAACAAUCAUGCUAGCUGUCUUACGAUCAUGCAAAGCAAUAUGACAAUGAAUGCUCAAGUCAUGUAUAUGAUGAUGAUGGAAGUUGCAUGGAAAUAUAUCUCGGAAUGGCUAUGGAAAUGCCAUGAUAGGUAGGUAUGGUGGCUGUUUUGAGGAAGAUAUAAGGAGGCUUAUGUGUGAUAGAGCGUAUCGUAUCACGAGGUUUGGAUGCACCAGCGAAGUUUGCACCUACUCUCGAGGUGAGAAAGGGCAAUGCACGGCACCGAAGAGGCUAGCAAUGAUGGAAAGGUAAAAGUGCGUAUAAUCCAUGGACUCAACAUUAGUCAUAAAGAACUCACAUACUUAUUGCAAAAAUUUAUUAGCCCUUGAAACAAAGUACUACGCGCAUGCUCCUAGGGGGGAGGUUGGUAGGAGUUAACCAUCGCGCGCCCCCGACCUUCACACAAAGAUAAACAAUCAAAAUACAAUGCGCGCCAAUUUGGUUACAUAGUUAGUAGACCAUACGUGCAUGCUUCGGGAAUCACAAACCUUAACACCAACAUCCUUACUAAACACAACCAUCUACUAGUACCUCCCACAUAUUAUCACCUCUAUAUCGCAAAACUAUUGCAAGGAAUCAAACAUAUCAUAUUCAGUGAUCCACAAGUUUAUGUAGGAUUUUAUGACUAACCAUGUGAUUGACCAAUUCAUGUCAUCUCUUUAAAUUGAUAUAAGUUAAGCAAGAGAGUUUAAUUCUUUCUACAAAAGAUAUGCCCAUACUCUAACAAAUAUAAGUGAAGCAAAAGAGCAUUCUACAAAUGGCGGUUUUCUAUGUGAAGAGAAACAGGCAAUCCAGACUUCAAAUGAUAUAAGUGAAGCACAUGCAGCAUUCUAUAAAGCCAUACUCAAAAGAUUUAAGUGAAGUGCAAUGAGCAUUCUAUAAAUCAACCAAGGACUAUCUCAUACCAGCAUUGUGCAUAAAAGAAAAGUGAAAACUAAAUGCAAAAGACGCUCCAAGACUUGCACAUAUCGCAUGAAUGAAACGAAUACGAAAACAUACCGAUACUUGUUGAAGAAAGAGGGGAUGCCUUCCGGGGCAUCCCCAAGCUUAGAUGCUUGAGUCUCCUUGAAUAUUUACUUGGGGUGCCUUGGGCAUCCCCAAGCUUGAUCUCUUGCCUCUCUUCCUUUUCCUCAUAUCGAGACCUCCUCGAUUAGACACUUCAUCCACACAAAACUUCAACAGAAAACUCGGUAAGAUCCGUUAGUAUAAUAAAGCAAAUCACUACUCUAAGUACUGCAUCAAACCAAUUCAUAUUUUGUUUUUGCAUUGUUUCUACUGUAAUAAAGCUUUUCCAUCGCUUAAUCCACUGAUAUAAAUUGAUAGUUUCAUCAAAAUAAAGCAAACUAUGCAUCAAAAACAGAAUCUGUCAAAAACAGAACAGUCUGUAGCAAUCUGAACAUUCACCAUAAUUAUGGUUCCCCAAAAAUUCUACCAAAACUAGGAAACAUAAACAAUUUGUACAGCAAUACAGUUCAAAAAGAAUCAGACUCGUUUGACGUUCCAGUUAAAAAUGUAAAAUCGUGCACUACAGCCAAAGUUUCUGUCCUGCACCGUACAAACCAACAAGCAUUGUAAACAUCCUAAAGGCAAACCUUGGAACAUUAUUUUUAUAAUACAAUGGAAUUAUACAAGGGGAUAAUUAUUUUUGUUGAAAAGUUUCUGUAAUCAAGAUUCACAAAGUUUCCGUGAGCAUGAACAAAGUUCAAGGCUAGCUCCCACUUCAACAAUGCUUGUCUUUCUCACUUUCACUUUCCUUUUUGAAAAGUUUUAGGUUCCCCUCUUUAUUUUUUUUGUUUUUAAACUAUAUAAAAGCACUCAACAGAAAUAAAUGACUCUCUAAAACUUCCGGUUGUCUCCUGGCAGCACUUUCUUUAAAGCCAUUAAGCUAGGCAUAUAGUGCUCAAGUAAUGAAUCCACCCGGAUCCCAAGGUAUAUCAAAGCCAAUUUUAAUUAACAAUGAUUUGUAAUUUAGUAGUGAGCACAAAUUAACAUAUAUCAUGCAGCAACGAAGUCUAACUCUCUUCCUAUGCAUCGGCAUGUCAUAAAAGAACAAUUCAUGCACACCAAGUAAAGGCCAAUGCAUAGUAUAAGCAGUUUCUUGCAAUUUUAUCAUAUUGGAAACAUAGAGAGGUAGAGAUAUAGUUCCUAUCUCAUAAUAAUUGCAAGUAGGAGCAGCAAGCACAUGCAUAUUAUAUCUAUCAAAAUUAUCAUGUGCAAUGGUAAAAGGAAACCCAUCAAUAUAAUCCUUAAUAAGCACAAACUUCUCCGAUAUAGUGUAGUUUGGAGAAUUCAAAAAGAUAAUAGGACUAUCAUGCGUGGGUGCAAUAGCAACAAUUUCAUGGUUGACAUAAGGAACUAUAGCAAGUUCAUCUCCAUAAGCAUAAUUCAUAUUGGCAUCUUGGCCACGAAUAUAUCAAGCAUCAUCAAAAAGGGAUAUUUCAAGAGAAUCAACGGGAUCAUGACAAUCAUCAUAGCAAUCAUCCUUCGGUAAGAACGAAGGGGAAUUAAACAAUGUAUGAGUUGAAGAGUUAAUCUCAUUAGAAGGUGGGAACGGGUAGCUAAUCCGCUCUUCCUCCUUUUGUUCUUCGCUCUCCUCCUCAUCUUUUUCAUCCAAUGAGCUCACAGUUUCAUCAAUUUCUUCUUCCAUAGCUUCCUGCAAAAUAUUAGUCUCUUCUUGGACAGCGAAGAAUUUCUCAAUAUAUAGUUUAACAUAGGCAUUAGAAGCAUAAUUAUCAUAACAAUAUUCAAGUAUGGAAAAAAGUUCAGAUUUGUAGAGAGUAGCAUCAUACUUUUCAAUCAAAGAAGCAAUUUCAUAAGCACCCUUAAAAGCAACAAAUUCUUCAAUUUGUUGAACAUCAUAUUAAUUAUAAACACCCUUAGCAUACGAAGAUACGAUUCCAUUAUCAAUAAACUCACAUUGGUAGGGAAAGUGUUUCUUAGGGUUUUUAGAAUAACAAGUAACAUCAUAUAUUUCACAUAAAGUCCAAGCAUAGCAUUGCAAACGAUGAAUUUGAUCCAGUAAAAGUUUCCCUUUUUCAGAUAUACGGUGUCGCACAUAAAAAGCAUGCUCAUCUAAAGAUUUGCCCUCAACUAAGCUAGUGGGGGUUUCGGCACGAGCACAAAGGGAUCGAAGAUGAUCCAAGUAUAAAGCUUCAGAAGUGUGAUAGAUUUUGAGUGGUUCUUCAACCAUUGGUGUAGUAGGUACAACUAUUUUUUUGGUAUUUUGCGUUUCCUACCCAUAGCUAAAGAUAGAGAACAACUUAGAACAGCAAAUAAAAAUUACUUAGUGAUAAAGCAAACAAGCACACACGAGAAUAUUCAGCCCACGUUAUGACUCCCCGGCAACGGCGCCAGAAAAAGGUCUUGAUAACCCGCAAGUAUAGGGGAUCAAUUGUAGCCUCUUUCGAUAAGUAAGAGUGUUGAACCCAACGAGGAGCUAAAGGUAGGACAACUAUUCUCUCAAGCCCUAUCUGCCACUGAUACGACUCUACACACGCUUAGUGUUUGCUUUACCUAGAACAAGUAUGAAACUAGAAGUACUUUCUAGGUGUUGUUGGAUAGCUUUGCAAGAUAAUAAAGAGCAUGUAAAUAAAAACUAGGGGCUUUUUAGAUAAAGAAGCAAUAAAGUAAAUAUAGCGAGUGUGGAAAAGUGGUGGUAGGAGUUGUGAAAUUGUCCCUAAGCAAUUGACUAUGUUACUAGACCGGUAAUCACUAUUGCAAUUCUAUUUGAGGGAGAGGCAUAAGCUAACAUACUUUCUCUUCUUGGAUCAUAUGCACUUAUGAUUGGAACUCUAGCAAGAAUCCGCAACUACUAAAGAUCAUUAAGGUAAAACCCAACCAUAGCAUUAAAGCAUCAAGCCCCCUUUAUCCCAUACGCAAACAACCUACUUACUCGGGUCUGUGCUUCUGUCACUCACGCCACCCACCAUAAGCAAAUCAUGAACAUAUUGCAAACCCUACAGCGGGGAUCCCUCACGCUUGUGCGACACGGAUAACACCAUAGGACAGCACCAAUAAUAAAACAUGCAACUCAAACCAAUCAUAUCAAUUCAUCAAUCACCGAUAGGACAACGGAAAUCUACUCAGACAUCAUAGGAUGGCAACACAUCAUUGGAUAAUAAUAUGAAGCAUAAACCACCAUGUUCAAGUAGAGGGUACAGCGGGUUGCGGGAGAGUGGACCGCUGGAUAUAGAUAGGGGACGGUGAUGGAGAUGUUGGUGAAGAUGGUGGAGGUGUUGGUGUAGAUCACGGUGAUGAUGAUGGCCCCGGCGUCAUUCCGGUGCCACCGGAAGCAAGGGGGAGAGAGUCCCCCUUCUUCUUAUUCUUCCUUGACCUUCUCCCUAGAUGGGAGAAAAGUUUCCCCUCUGGUCCUUGGCUCCCAUGGCAUGGGAGGGGCGAGGGCCCCUCCGAGAUUGGAUCUAUCUCUCUGUCUCUCUCUAUUUCUGCGUUCCCUGAUUCUGCCCCUUCACCGUUUCUUUUAUAUCGAGAGAUCCGUAACUCCUAUUGGGGUGAAUCUUUCGCCCAGAUCUUUAUCAUAAAAUUAGCUUUCUUGCGGCAAAAGAAGAGCAUCAAACUCCUUAUGGGGGGGGGACAGGAGGGUCCAGGGCGCGCCUGCUUCCCUGGGACGUGCCCCCUGUCUUGUGGCCCCCUUGGGCACUGUCUCGUGUUGAUUUUCCCCCAAAAAAAUCACAAAUAUUCCAAAAUAAUUCUCCGUCCAUUUUUCUCCCGUUUGGACUCUGUUUGAUAUUGGGUUUCGGCGAAACAUAAAACAUGCAACAAACAGGAACUGGCAUUGGGCACUGGAUCAAUAUGUUAGUCCCAAAAAUAGUAUAAAAAGUUGCCAAAAGUAUAUGAAAGUUGAAUAAUAUUGGCAUGGAACAAUCAAAAAUUAUAGAUAUGACGGAGACGUAUCACUUAUCUAUCCCACCAUGGCCAUCGCCCACGAAGGACUUGCCUCACUUGGGUAGAUCUUCACGAAGUAGGCGAUCUCCUUGCCCUUACAAACUCCUUGGUUCAACUUCACAAUCUUGACGGAGACUCCCAAGUGACACCUGAUACGUCUCCAACGUAUCUAUAAUUUUUUAUUGUUCCAUGCUAUUAUAUUACCCAUUUUGGAUGUUUAUGGGCUUUACUUUACACUUUUAUAUCAUUUUUGGGACUAACCUAUGAACCGGAGGCCCAACCCAUAUUGUUGUUUUCUUGCCUAUUUCAGUGUUUCGAAGAAAAGGAAUAUCAAACGGAGUCCAAACGGAAUGAAACCUUCGGGAAAGCUAUUUUUGGAAUGGAAGCGAUCCAGGGGACUUGGAGUGCAAGUCAGGGAAGCUUCGAGGAGGCCACGAGGUAGGGGGCGCGCCCACCCCCUAGGCGCGCCCUCCACCCUCGUAGGCCCCUCGAGGCUCCCCCUACCGACUUCUUUCGCCUAUAUAGUCCCAUAUACCCUAAAAACAUCAAAGACAACAAUAGAUCUGGAGUUCUGCCGCCGCAAGCCUCUGUAGCCACCAAAAACCAAUCGGUACCCUGUUCCGGCACCCUGCCGGAGGGGGGAUCCCUCACCGGUGGCCAUCUUCAUCAUCCCGGCGCUCUCCAUGACGAGGAGGGAGUAGUUCACCCUCGGGGCUGAGGGUAUGUACCAGUAGCUAUGUGUUUGAUCUCUCUCUCGUGUUCUUGAGUGAUACAAUCUUGAUGUAUCGCGAGCUUUGCUACUAUAGUUGGAUCUUAUGAUGUUUCUCCCCCUCUACUCUCUUGUAAUGGAUUGAGUUUUCCCUUUGAAGUUAUCUUAUCGGAUUGAGUCUUUAAGGAUUUGAGAACACUUGAUGUAUGUCUUGUCGUGCUUAUCUGUGGUGACAAUGGGAUAUUCACGUGAUCUACUUGAUGUAUGUUUUGGUGAUCAACUUGCGGGUUCAAUGAACCUAUGCAUAGGGGUUGGCACACGUUUUCGUCUUGACUCUCUGGUAGAAACUUUGAGGCACUCUUUGAAGUACUUUGUGUUGGUUGAAUAGAUGAAUCUGAGAUUGUGUGAUGCAUAUCGUAUAAUCACGCCCACGGAUACUUGAGGUGACAAUGGAGUAUCUAGGUGACAUUAGGGUUUUGGUUGAUUUGUGUUUUAAGGUGUUAUUUUAGUAUGAACUCUAUGAUAGAUUGAACAGAAAGAAUAGCUUCGUGUUAUUUUACUACGGACUCUUGAAUAGAUUGAGCAGAAAGGAUAACUUUGAGGUGGUUUCGUACCCUACCAUAAUCUCUUUGUUUGUUCUCCGCUAUUAGUGGCUUUUGAGUGACUCUUUGUUGCAUGUUGAGGGAUAGUUAUAUGAUGCAAUUAUGUUAUUAUUGUUGAGAGAACUUGCACUAGUGAAAGUAUGAACCCUAGGCCUUGUUUCCUAGCAUUGCAAUACCGUUUGUGCUCACUUUUAUCAUUAGUUACCUUGCUGUUUUUAUAAUUUCAGAUUACAAAUACCCAUAUCUACUAUCCAUAUUGCACUUGUAUCACCAUCUCUUCGCCGAACUAGUGUGCCUAUACAAUUUACCGUUGUAUUGGGUGUGUUGGGGACACAAGAGACUCUUUGUUAUUUGGUUGCAGGGUUGUUUGAGAGAGACCAUCUUCAUCCUACGCCUCCCAUAGAUUGAUAAACCUUAGGUCAUCCACUUGAGGGAAAUUUGCUACUGUCCUACAAACCUCUGCACUUGGAGGCCCAACAACGCCUACAAGAAGAAGGUUGUGCAAUAGACAUCAAGCUCUUUUCUGGCACCGUUGUCGGGGAGGUGAGUGCUUGAAGGUAUAUCUUUAGAUCUUGCAAUAGAAUAUUUUGUUUCUUGUUUUAUCACUAGUUUAGUCUAUAAAAGAAAACUACAAAAAAAAAUGGAAUUGAGUUUGUCUCAUACGCUUCAUCUUUUUAAUAUCUUUCGUAAGUAUGAUGAAAAGGAAAAUUGUGCUCAAGUGCUAGAAGAAGUCUAUAAAAUGUUUGAUACUAAAUCUUUGUAUGAUGAGCAUGCUUGCUAUUUUGUUAGUAUGAACACUUUGAAUAUCCAUAGUAUUAAUGAUGAUUGCACUAGUUAUGAUGAAAAUGUCUCCUAUAAGCAUGUCAAUUUUUGUGGGGAGCAUUGAGUUUGCAUGAACACACCAAAUAGAGAAGAUAGAUAUUGCAAGAGGCAUAAGCAUGUAGAAACUAAAUUGUUGCAAGAAAGGCUAAGGGUGAGUGCUGAAGAAUUAUAUUUCCUUUGCCGUACUUGUGAACUUUGCAAUGAAAGUGGUCAUUUACAUCUCCGAUGCAAAUUGUUUCAUGACCGAAUCGUGUCCAAAAGUUGUGAUGAUUUGAUUUCCCUUGCACAUUAUAAUGAAAUUAGUUUGCUUAUGGGUUAUGAAGAUAUGAAACGAUUAAUUAAGCACCUUCCAGAAUUUGCCCGUUAUAAACUUCUUGAUUUUGAUCUAGAGACAAUUUAUAUGUUUUGUGCGGUGAAUUUCAUUGAAAAUCCUUAUAUUGCCAAUUACAUAAAGAAAAGAAAGCAAAUAGAAGAUGAAGAGAAUACUAAUGAAAGGGAAGAGAUUUCCCAAUAUCCUCCUAUUAUUUCUUAUGAUGAAUCAGGUAAUGACGAGGAGCUUUCUAUUCAACCAAUCUCAUCUAUAAGGAGCUCAAAGAAGAAGGUUGAACCCACACAUAAUGUGAAGAAUAAAAAGAAAAGAAGAAGCAACAAAGGUAAAAAGGUAUCCCUCCCAAAUGAUGAUGCUCCUACUACUCAUUGUGAUGAUGAUAAUUGCUAUACUACUGGUGUUGUCCAUACUAUUUAUGAUGAGAGUGAUUAUGCUUAUGAUAUGAAAAGGCCCAAGCUUGGGGAUGCUACGUUUAAUGAAGAUGAUAUUUUUUGCCUCCCAAGUUUUGAUAUGCAAAGUUGUUACGAUGAUAGCAUGCCUCUUACCUAUGAUGAAUAUGAAAGUGGAUUUGGAAGAGUGUCAACUUUAUUUAGUGAUGAUUCCACUAUCUUGGGAGAGGUUUUAAUCGAUUAUGAUGAGAACGAAGUUGCUACUUAUGAUGAUUAUUGUGAUGAAACUUAUGCUAUAAAAAGUAGUGAUGAUUAUAUUUAUAAAACUUGUCAUGAUUAUGAUUACCCUUUUUCUGAACAUUACUCUUUUAAUGUGGAAACAAUUUAUAGUAUUCAAGUCUAUUAUGAUACUCCCACUAUUCCGAAUGAGAAGGAUUUUGCUUAUGUGGAGAGUAGUAAAUUUUCUAAGCUUGUAGAUCAUGAAAAGAAUGCUUGUAGGAAUUGCAAUAAUGUCAAGUUUCCUCUCUAUGUGCUUCAAGUUUUGAACUUAUGCUUGUUUUGCCUUCCUAUGCUAGUUGAUUAUUGUUCCCAUAAGUUGUUUGCUCACAAAAUCCCUAUGCAUAGGAAGUGGGUUAGGCUUAAAUGUGCUAGUCAUAUGCUUCAUGAUGCUCCCGUUAUGUUUCAAUUCUUAUCUUUUAUGUGAGCAUCAUUGUCAUCAUCAUGCCUAGCUAGAAAGGCAUUAAAGAAAAGCGCUUGUUGGGAGACAACCCAAUAUUUACCCUUACUGUUUUUGUGUGUUAACAUGAUUAUGAUACUGUAGUAAUCAUGUUUUAUAGCUUUUGUUUCAAUAAAGUGCCAAGUAAGACCUUUAGGAUAGCUUACGGUGAUAGUUGUGUUGAUCCUGCUGAAAAUCAGAAACUUUUGCACCCAGUAAAUUAGUUUUGAUAAUUCACAGAAACGUGCUUCUGAUCUUAUUAUUUUUUCUCUGGAUUAGUACACAAAUUUCUUAGGACUUCCUAAUUUUGUAGGAUUGUUGGAGUUCCAUAAGUAUAUGUUUGGUACAGAUUACUACAGACUGUUCUGUUUUUGAUAGAUUCUGUUUUCUAUGUGUUGUUUACUUAUUUUGAUGAAUCUAUGAGUAGUAUGGGAGGGUAUGAACCAUAGAGAAGUUGGAAUACAUUAGAUAUUACACCAAUAUGAAUUUAUAAUGAGUUCAUUACAUUAACUAAGUGGUGGUUUUAUUUUCUUAUACUAACGGAGCUUACGAGUUUUCUGUUGAGUUUUGUGUUGUGAAGUUUUCAAGUUUUGGGUAAAGAUUCGAUGGACUAUGGAAUAAGGAGUGGCAAGAAACUAAGCUUGGGGAUGCCCAAGGCACCCCAAGGCAAUAUUCAAGGACAACCAAGAGCCUAAGCUUGGGGAUGCCCCGGAUGGCAUCCCCUCUUUCGUCUUCAUUCAGCGGUAACUUUACUUGCAGCUAUAUUUUUAUUCACCACAUGAUAUGUGUUUUGCUUGGAGCGUCAUUUUAUUUUGUUAGUAUUUUAUUGCUGUUAUUUAGAAUAAUGGUUUGCAUCUAUAUUUUCAAUAAAAAUUUCAAGGAUAGCCUUUACCAUGCUUAUUUUGCUAGUAUACAUGUUGCUGUUUGAAAACAGAAAGUUUACCGCUGUUGCAAAAAUUUCCUAGAAAAGUCAGAGAAUGAUAUAAUGUUUAAAUUUUUUGCAUAUUGAGAUAUGAUAAAUCUUCUACAUAGUAGUAUUUUUCUCAUAAUUUUUGGAGUUAGGGAAGUAUGAUGAAUCUUGCAUUCUUUACAGACAAUACUGCUUUGGCAGAUUGCUGUUAUGUUUGCAUUGUUUGCAUAUGUUUGCUUGUUUAAUGAUUCUAUUUGAGGAUAGUAGUAUUAAAUAUGAAGAGGCAUUUAGUAUGCAAUGUUGAAUAAUAAUUUGCAUGGGUAUAUAUAGGAGGAAGAAGUAGGUCGGUGGCUGCCCGAGGGGCCCACGAGAUAGGGGGCGCGCCCUGUAGGGGUGGGCGCGCCCUCCACCAUCGUGGCCGCCUCGGCUGCUUCUUGACUUGCACUCCAAGUCCUAUGGAUCACGUUCGUUCCAAAAAUCACGCUCCCGAAGGUUUCAUUCCGUUUGGACUCCAUUUGAUAUUCCUUUUCUUAGAAAUACUGAAAUAGGCAACAAAAAAAAUAGCAAUGCGGGCUGGUCCUCCGGUUAGUAGGUUAGUCCCAAAAAUGAUAUAAAUGUGUAAAGUAAAGCCCAUAAACAUCGAAAAAGGGUAAUAUAAUAGCAUAGAACAAUAAAAAAUUAUAGAUACAUUGGAGACAUAUCAUGUCCGCAUAUAACCUUCCAAUAUAUCAAUCUUUACCUCUCGACCAUUUUGAGACUCCUCGUCAUGUCCGUGCAUCCGGGACUCCGAACAACCUUCGGUCACCAAAACACAUAACUCAUAUAUUACAUAUUUUCAUCGAAUGUUAAGCUGCGGACCCUACGGGUUUGAGAACUAUGUAGACAUGACCGAGACACUUCUCCGGUCAAUAACCAAUAGCGGAACUUGGAUGCUCAUAUUGGUUCCCACAUAUUCUACGAAGAUCUGUAAGUGCAUCUAGUGCCCCUUAGUGAUUUUGGUGUAUUGACGACUUGUAGGUUAAGGGACUGAUGCGUUUGUGAGUGUACACAGGUAUAUAAGUCUAUGAGGAGUUUGAUAUUUACAGAGAAAGUCGACCCCUAAAAAUGAAGUUCUUCAACUGAAGACUUUGGAUUUCUGAAGACUUUCUGAAGACUUUGGAAGUGAAGAAAUUGGUGUGACCUUGAAGACUUGGUAUUCAUUCGAGGAACAUGAAGCGUGAAGACUUUGUUUUUAUAGUUUCAUUUUCUCUUUCUUGAGUCAUAGGAAACACCGUACUGUUAAAGGGGGUCGAGGAAAUACUAAGAAAAAUGUCCAUGUGAUGCUCAAUUCAAAAUCCUACACCUACCAAUCCCUUCGAGUGAAACCAUUGGAAAUCUCAUACAGUUCAGUCAUAUUCUUCACUGACAGAGACGAAGUUCUUCUGGUCUCUGAGGAAUUUGUUCUGACUGAGGAGUUAGGAAUUCACCAGUGUGAAUUGCCUACACAGUGAGGAACAUGAUAGCCCUGGGGAUUUUGAUAGUCAAAAUUCCGACCGUUGCUGUGCUAUGCGCCAGCGGUUCCAAAAUAUCUACCCACCUAACGGUCAUAUCAGACAAGGGCAUUUAUGUCUUAUCAUGUCGGGCUGCUCCCUAGGCUAUAAAUAGCCGCCCCCUUCAACCACUAGCUGGUUGACUGCUCCGAGAGAAACUGACACUUGUCAUUUGAGAGCAACCCAUCCUCCGAGGAUAUUGAGCAAAAAUCAUCAAGUGAGGAAAACCCAAAAACCCAACACCUACAAACCCAAAGUGAUUGUGCAUCACUGAAGAGAUUGAUCCUGCGUGGAUCCGAUGCUUGUUUCCUUUGAAGAUUGUGCUUCUUCCAGACGGUUAGGUGUCAAGGUCUACAGCAUCCAAGAGGAAUUGUGGAUCGCCGAGUGACCGAGUUUGUGAAGGUUCGGAAGUCACCUGAAGACUUACCACGAGGGAUUGGGCGAGGUCUAUGUGACCUUAGCUCAAGGAGAAUACGGUGAGGACUGUGUGUCCGAGACUGGGUGUCCUCGAGUUUAAAUACUCAGCCGCUUCAACCAGAUGUACAACUGAGACAGCAGUUGGAACUGGUCUACCAAAUCAUUGUCUUCACCGAGCUUCCUGAUUCUAUUUCCUCAACUCUUUCAUUUCCUCAUGUAUGUUGUUGUGUGCCUGUUCAUAUCUGUCUGAAGACAUUGACUGAAGACUUUCUCAAUUUCCUCAGUUCUAUUUCUUCAGUCCGCUCGUCUUCUUCCUUGUGUUAUCAUGUGUUUACGCUUUCUAUACUCUGUGCUUGUCUUAAUUUCAUCAUGAUGACUGUGCUUGUGUUCUGUUAUGUUCACUUCUGAGUACUUAUUCCGCUGCAAGUAGUUCUUCAUUUAGGAAUUUCCUCACCAGCAAAUUCCUCAGAGAAGAAUUCAUAAAAAUCGCCUAUUCACCCCCCCCCCUCUAGUCGAUAUAACGCACUUUCAAUUGGUAUCAGAGCAAGGUACUCCCUUGUUCUGUGUGAUUUUGGUUUAACCGCCUGGAGUUUUAGUUAUGUCGACCGCAGGUAUGAUCAAGGUCUCUGCUGGGUGUCCUACCUUCGAUGGAAUGGACUACCCCUACUGGAAGAACAAGAUACGAAUGCAUCUUGAGGCAAUUGACAAUGAUCUCUUGUAUGUUGUGGAAAAUGGUGUUCCCUCAGUCACACCAUCUCUGAACGCUACUGAUGUGAAGAGAUUCAAGCAACUCGAUUCUCAAGCGAAGAAUAUCAUAUGUGGUCAUCUGAGCAAAGGACAGUAUGGAAGAGUGAGUGCUUUGGAAACUGCCAAGCUUAUCUGGGAUAGGCUGUCCAAAGUAAUUGAAGGAGUCUCAACUCAACGUGACUCUCGUGUUGACAUUCUUCGCAAUCUCUUCAACCGCUUCAAAAGACUCGACAAUGAAAAUGAUCAUCAAACCUUCGAUCGCCUCACUGACUUCUCAAAUGAGCUUCAAGCGCUUGGCGCCACUAACAUCACCGACCAUGAGGUGGUGAAGAAAUUGCUGAGAUCGCUAGAUUCUUCAUUUGAUACUCUGGCACUGAUGAUUCAAGAGCAUGCUGACUACAAGUCACUUGAUCCCGCUGAUAUCCUCGAGAGGCUAAACACUCAUGAGUUCCAGCUUGCUGAGAAGAGAGAUCUCUAUGGUCCAAGCUAUGGUAAACCACGUUCCUUGAAGGCCAAGGCUGUCUUUGAGUCUGAAGGAGAGGACUCCACUAGCAGCCUUGGUGAUCCUCAAGAACUGAGCUAGGAACUAGCAUUGCUCGUGAAGAAAUUCCAGAAGUUCUCAAGACGUGGCCGAUUUGGAAAAUCCUCAAGGAGCAAUGAUUCCUCAUCUAGUGAUUAUAAGAAGAGGUUGUGUCACAAAUGCAAAAAGCCGGGUCACUACAUUCAAGAUUGUCUUCAGUGAGACAAGGAAUUGAAGAAGAAGAAAUACAAGGAUUACAGUUCUGAUGAUGGCAAGAAGAAGAAGAAAUCUUCAAAGUCUUCAUCGUCAAAAUCCUCGAAGUCUUCAUCUCACAAUAAGAGCAUCUCCAAGAAAGCUCGGGCAUUCAUUGGCAAGGAAAUGGAUUCUGAGGCUGAAUCUGAGGAUCAUGAGGAAGAGGAGGCAUCCGAGGAGUCCGAGUCUGGUGUGGCAAGCCUGGCUCUUGCUACCGCGUUCGUCAGCAAGUCUAUCUUCAACUCUUAAGAAAAUGGCAACACCAACAAUGUUGAUGAAGGCAAUGAUGACUACGCUCCCACCUAUUGCUUCAUGGCAAAGGGUGCCAAGGUAACUAAAUACCCCUCCUCUGACUCUAGUGAGGAUGAAUCUGAUGAAAAUCUCAAGCCCAGCUACUCUAAACUUGCUAAAAUUGCUGUGAAACAACAAAAGGCUAUUGAAAAGCUUCAAAACAUGUUAGACAAAAGUGAUGAUAUGUUGGGUGAAGAAAUGGAUCGCACAAAAAACUUAACUGAUAAUCUUCAGAGACUUCAGUCUAAGUUUGACAAUCUUCAAAGUCAUCAUAACACUCUCUUAUCUGAUCAUGAGAAGCUUUAUUAUGAGUUUAUUCAAAGAAAGCAAGAUCUUGAGAAGCUAAGAGUGAGUUAUGAAGAUCUUCAGAAGGAGCAUGAUUCAUUACUUGCUCAACAAAUCAGCGCUACCCAGGAAGAAUUUGUUCCUCCAUGUCUGAAGUGCAUUGAACGUGAAACUGCUAAUUCUUCACCUGAAUGUUCAAAUGCUUCUAAUGCUACAAAUUCUUCAUAUGUCUCUGUUGUCACUAAUUCCUCAUCUGAGGACAAUGCAAGUAUCACUGAUGAUGCAGGGUUGAAGGAAUUGUACAUGACAAGCAUGUACAAAAGCCUCAAAGGGCAUCAGACUCUUUGUGAUGUGCUCAAAAAGCAGAUCCUCAACAGAAACCCUAGGAAAGAGGGUAUUGCCUUUGAGAGGAAACUCAAUGUUGAUGGAACAUAUUAGAAGCCUGAUCAGUAUCCCAAAACCUCAUGGGUUGCUGCAAAGGGACCUCCAGUUGAUCCAUCCAACUUAUCUGGCUUUACAUGUGAAUCUCCCCAUUCUUUUGAUGAGUCAUUUGACUCUAACUAUAAGCUGUUCAAAAAUCAGAAUGGUGAAGUAUUUGCUAGAUAUGUUGGGACUAACUGCAGGAACAGUUCUCCUAUGAAGAAAAUCUGGGUUCCCAAAAGUUGCCUUGAAAGUCUUCAGGUGAAUGUCCUCAUGACACCACCUGUGAAGAAAAGGAACUCCAGAUCAAAUUCUUCAUAUGAACCAAAUUCUUCAUAUGGAUCCAAGUCCUCAUACGGACCAAAUUCCUCACGUGGAUCAAAUUCCUCAAAAGGAUCAAAGUCCUCAUAUGAUCAUCAUCGUACUAACCCUUCUGUUUCGCAGGGUAGAGCUAAGGGCUAUGAAUAUGUGCAUUAUUCUUCAAAUCAUUAUGUUCAUAAGUCCUAAAGAAUUUCUCUGCUUAUUCAUAUGCUUACCCUAACCCCUCGUAUGUGAAACGAAGUGGACUGGCAUCCAUGCCACCUUUCUCAUAUGGUGCUCGCAGAGUGAUGAAUUCUUUGCCACCCCUCCAGAUGUGGGUGGUGAAGAAAAAGAACUAAUCUCUUAUGCAGGGUCAGGUCUCCAGUCGUGCUCAAAACGACUGAAGAAUUUGCUAGAGACCUGAACAGUGCCUGAUAGGACGCAGGCUAAUCAUGAUGAAAUGAACUUUCAUUUCUCACGUCCUCAUACUGAUUAUCUGUUCUAAUUGCUUGAUGAAAUUGACCUGAUGUUACUGAUGUCAUAUUCUUCACUGAUGAAGUAUAUGAGUUUGUAAGCUGCACUAAUUCAUCUGCAGGAUGAUCAACCCAAAGCAAAUGAGUGGGUCCUCGAUAGUGGAUGUACAAAUCACAUGACUGGUGACAAGAAUCUAUUGAUGGAUGCUCCCUUAUCACCGUCACAUCUGAAGCAUAUCAUCUUCGCUGACAAAGGCAAAAGUCAGGUAUUGGGUCUAGGUAAGGUUGCGAUCUCUAAGGACAUACACAUGGACAAAGUCAUGCUUGUCGAGUCCUUAGGAUACAACCUCAUGUCUGUCUUAAUGCUUUGUGAUCUUGACAUGGUUGUUGUCUUUGGCAAGUAUCGUUGUGUUGUGAUCUUGGAAGCUGACAAUUCCAAAGUCUUCGAAGGCUUUAGGAGAGGAGACUUGUACAUUGUUGAUUUCUCUACAGGACCACGGCCUGCCAUGUGCUUACUUGCAAAAGCUUCAGAAGGCUGGCUAUGGCAUCGAUGACUUGGUCAUGCUGGCAUGAGGAAUCUGCACACGCUCGCGAAGAAGAAGCAUGUCAUUGGCAUUAAGAAUGUGAAAUUCCUCAAGGAUCACUUAUCCAGAGCCUGUGAAGCUGGGAAGAUGACAAAGGCCAAGCAUCCAGCGAAGACUAUCAUGACUACCACUCGACCAUUUGAAUUGCUUCACAUGGAUCUCUUCGGUCCUAAUCAUUAUUCUGCUAUGACGAAUGAUGCAUCUCUAUAUGGCUUUGUUAUUGUUGAUGAUUAUUCUCGUUACACAUGGGUACACAUUGUCACUUACAAACAUGAAGUGCAGGAAGUCUUCAAACGAUUUUCCUCGAGGGCUUCAACCAACUUUGGUGUGAAGAUCAAACACAUCAGAAGUGACAAUGGGACUGAGUUCAAGAAUUCCGGUCUUGAUGGCUAUCUUGAUGAACUUGGUAUUACUCAUGAGUUAUCUGCUCCUUAUACUCCUCAGCAGAAUGGCGUCGUGGAGCGCAAGAACAGAACCCUCACUGAAAUGGCUUGCACUAUGCUUGAUGAAUACAAGACACCUCGUCGGUUCUGGAUUGAUGCAAUUGAUACUGCUUGCCACAUCAUCAACAGAGUAUAUCUUCACAAAUUCUUCAAGAACACUGCCUAUGAACUCCUCACUGACAAGAAACCCAAUGUAAGUUACUUCAAAGUCUUCGGUGCUAAAUGUUGGAUUAGAGAUCCACAUCACAAUUCUAAAUUUGCACCGAAAGCAGAUGAGGGUUUCAUGCUUGGUUACGGAAAGGACUCGCACACCUACAGAGUCUUCAACAGCAUUCUUCACAAGGUUUUUGAAACUGUAGAUGUGCGGUUCGAUGAAACUAAUGGCUCGCAAAGAGAGCACCUACCUUCUGUGAUAGAUGAACCAGCACUUGAGGAUUCUAUCAAGUUCAAGGCUACUGAGGAUGUCAUUCCUACUGAAGAAUCCACUGAAGAAUUCAUUCCAGAACGUGAUGAACAUCAAGCUGGCGCACCUGAAGAAAAUGGUGCUGAGGAAAAUGCAUCUGAAGAUAAUGCAAAUCAAAUUCCUCGAAGACAACCCGCUCAUCCUCGCAUUGCAAACGAAGUGCAAGUCGAGAAGAUCAUUGAUGAUAUUCGUGCACCAGGUCCUCUCACACGCUCAAAAGCUUCACAUUUAUCUAACUUUUGUGGGCACUUUUCUUUUGUCUCUAUCACAGAGCCCACUAAGGUAGAUGAAGCAUUUCUGGAGCCUGAGUGGGUUCAAGCUAUGCAAGAAGAAUUAUAUCAGUUUGAGCUCAACAAUGUCUGGGAAUUGGUCAAACGUCCAGAUCCUCGUAAGCACAACAUUAUUGGCACAAAAUGGAUAUACCGCAACAAGCAAGAUGAAAAUGGCCUUGUGGUGAGGAAUAAGACACGGCUUGUAGCUCAAGGCUACACACAGGUUGAAGGAAUUGAUUUCGAUGAAACUUUUGCACAUGUUGCUAGACUUGUGGCUAUUCGCAUAUUACUUGCUUACGCUAACCAUCAUAAUAUCACCUUAUAUCAAAUGGAUGUGAAAAGUGCAUUCCUCAAUGGUAAGCUUGAGGAAGAAGUAUAUGUUGCUCAACCCCCAGGUUUUGAAGAUCCAAAGAAUUCUGACAAAGUCUUCAGACUCAACAAGGCCCUGUAUGGCCUCAAGCAAGCCCCUCGGGCGUGGUAUGAUACCUUGAAGGAAUUCUUCAUGAAGAAAGGCUUCAAACCCGGUUCACUCGACCCAACUCUUUUCACUAAAUCUUAUGAUGGUGAAUUGUUUGUGUGCCAAAUAUAUGUUGAUGAUAUCAUUUUCGGCUGUACUGACCAACGAUAUAGUGAUGAAUUUGCCUAUAUGAUGAGUGAAGAAUAUCAAAUGUCUAUGAUGGGAGAGUUGAAAUUCUUUUUAGGUCUUCAAAUUCAUCAACAGCGCAAUGGAAUAUUCAUAUCUCAGGAGAAAUACCUCAAGGACGUAUUGAGGAAAUUCGGCAUGCAAGAUUGCAAAGGGGUCAAAAUUCCAAUGCCCACAAAUGGCCAUCUAUGCACUGAUGAAAAUGGUAAAGACUUCGAUCAAAAGGUAUACCGCUCCAUGAUUGGCUCUUUAUUGUACCUAUGUGCAUCUAGGCCAGAUAUUAUGCUUAGUGUUUGCAUGUGUGCCCGAUUUCAAGCUACACCGAAGGAAUCACACCAUAAGGCUAUGAAGCAUAUACUUCGAUACUUAGCUCACACACCAACACUUGGAUUAUAGUAUCCCAAGGGCUCUUCAUUUGAUCUCAUUGGAUAUUCAGACUCUGACUAUGCUGGCGAUCGCGUGGACUGCAAGUCAACAUCAGGCACAUGCCAUUUCCUCGGACGAUCUUUGGUCUGUUGGUCCUCGAAGAAACAGAACUGCGUAUCUCUCUCCACUGCAGAAGCUGAGUACAUUGCUACUGGAUCGUGUUGUGCUCAAUUACUUUGGAUGAAGCAAACACUCAAGGACUAUGGCAUCAACGUGAAGAAUGUGCCUCUCUACUGCAACAAUGAGAGUGCUAUCAAGAUUGCUCACAACCCUGUUCAGCACUCGAAGACCAAGCACAUCCAGAUUCGUCAUCAUUUCCUUCGUGAUCAUGUGUUGAAGGGCGAUGUCUCCAUCGACCACGCUAGCACUAAAGAUCAGCUGGCCGAUAUCUUCACUAAGCCCUUGGAUGAGAAGAGAUUUAGCAAGUUGUGGUGUGAGCUAAAUAUCCUAGAAUCUUUGAAUGUUCUCUGAAAUGGACACACAUCCUAACACUUAUGCUGACUUGAUGACUUAGAUGCGCAACACACGAAGUAACGUUUUUCUUCAAUCAAUGAAGACUAACCCUCUAAGUGUGAAGAAAUUAAUGAAGAAAUUGAUUCUCAGAGCCCUACGACAAUUGUACGCGGUGUCUGAAAUCAACUUUCUUAUACGGUGGGUUAUGCCACCACCCAAAGUUGAAAAUCUUCAAUUUGAGUUUUUCUUCGUUUUUGAAAUUCCUCAGUUUUUCAAAUUCUUCAACUUUGCAUUGUCUUCGCUCUUCCCAGUGUUGUUCUUCAUUUGAAUAUAUAUAUAUAUAUGAGUUUUAUGUCCUCUACAGCAUUCACUUAUUGCUAAUUCCUUAAGUUGAUUUCUUGUGCUAAGUGAAUGUGAUCGGACCCUUUCCCAUCUAUGCUAAACUCAACCCAAUCUAUUCACAAAUUCCUCAUAUGCGUUCUAUUUGAAACUCGUUCAAAUUCUUCACUAUGUCCUUGACAGCUGAAGAAAUUGCGAACGGAACUUUUAACUUAUCUUAUCUAAAUUUUCGGUUUUGCCGCUCAAACUGUUCCGCUUAUCGCGACAAAUACUUAUCUAUUCACCCACGAUCCUACACGAUCGCCACCUCUCAGUACGUGGGUGACACAUGUCAAGUGAAUGAGAAGAGGCCAGGGGCAUGUUCGUCCGAUUUCCUCGGUUGAACAGUUUUCACUCCCUCUAUAAAUACCCAUGUCUCUUCCUCACUUCACUUUCACCUCGCUCGUGCUCUCUCUCCCGCUCGAGCUUCCCAAAACCCUAGCGCCGCCGCUACUUCAUCGUCGCCGGUGAGGAAGAGCUUCACUGCCUCAACCUCAUCGCCGUCGUACUCGCACCGGUUGCGGAUUUCUUCACUCCACAGCCGCCAUAGACGUCUUCCUCUGCCGAGUUAGGGCGUGGAAGAUCUGACCUGACGAACUUCACUUCUGUUCUUCCCAGUUCGUCGUGUUCUUCACUUUGGGUAAUUAAAAGUUACUUUUAACUGCUCGCUUUGAUUCUCAAGUUUUCCUGAAAAUCUUCAAAAGUGUUUAUUCUUCAAUUCUUCACACAUAUAAACACCUCACAUAUCAUCUGCUCUUGAUUCGUUUCUCUAAGCAAUGAUUUUAUUCAAGAUUCCUCAAUUGUGUGGAUUUUCAAUCUAUACAACUUUGGAACCUAAGACAAAGAACGCUUAGUGAAAUUUCUCAAGACUCAUCUGGUCAAAUUCCUCAAAACCUAUUCUUUUUGAAAAACCUUCUGAGAACGCAUAUGACCUCUCCAAAUUCCUCGCAACUAUACUCUGUUCAUAGGUACAAAUGUCCGCUGCUGAAUCACUAGGUUCUCAUCAACUUAACUCAUUUGCAUCGUUCCUCGAAGAAAAGUUGCAUACCUCUUCAGAAACUUCAGUGGUUCAUAUUCCUCAGCUGGAGAAAAUGGGUGACAAAAGGCCACAGAAGGGAGGAAAGAGGCCUGAGGUCAAUACUGCAUUUGAAAUCCCUGAGGACAUAUAUAAGGACUACUGCACACCUGAUGAAGCCAAAUUCGGCAAAGAGGACAAGAAUCAGCGCAAGGUGCGCAUACAAAGGAUAGAGAGGAGAUGGGCACGAGAAUGGAGGGAGUACAGAUAUGUAACUCCCAAAUACAUGAAGAUAUUCGCACUCAACCCUCCAUGCCCAAGACCUCCAUUGGCACCAGGCCAGUUGGCAGAUCCCACCAGCCUCAAGCGCGGUCAGGACUAUCCUGAUGAAUGGGCAAAGCGCUAGGCCAAAUUGGCAAAGCAAGCAAAGGAAGCAGUGAAGAAAUUCAACGCAGACUCUGCUGCUGCUGCUACCUCUGCUGAGGCCUCUGCUAGUCAGCCAAAGAAGGCAAUGCACAAGAAGCCUGCGCACAAGUCUAGUGCUUCACCUUCAAUGCCCUCACGUCCAAGCUCCUCUGCUAUGCCAUCAAGGCCAGAUUCUUCAAGGCCCUCACGACAAAUUCCUCAGACUACUCCUUCAAAGUCCUCAGCUCCUCCGUCAAAGUCUUCAGCUGCUCUGACAAAAUCCUCGGCACCUAUGCAUCUCUCCACGUGCCAAAGGACUCAAGGCUUCUCUAUUGCCUCAGGAGCAUCUACAAGCUCCUCUGCUGCUUGAAAUUCCUCAGCUGGUCCCUCACUGCUGAAGAAAAAGGCCACUGCUGGACGAGGUCUUCGACCAAGUCCUCACAAGAAGCAAGUCGCUUUCCAAGUGCCCUCUGAUGAUGAUGAGGCGGAUGAUGAAGAACUUGCCGAAAUCAUCAGAAACAGGCAAGCCAGGGCCGCUAGAGCCAAAGGCAGCAAUGUGCCGCUGAUGCCGGAUCCAAAGUUGAUCCUCGACUACAUUGACAUGUGGCACAAGGAUCCUAACACACCUUUGCCGGAGAUGAACCUCACUCCUGGUCAAAGUCAUGUUCUCACUGCCUUCAUUGAGGAAGAAAAAUGGAAAUUUGAACAAGGCAGAAGUUUGAAGAAAGCGCAGUACAAGAAACAACGCUACCUCAAGGACAAUGUCCUCAUUCUCACUCCUGAUCAGCUCCUUGCCUUGCAAGAGGAAAUCAAACAAAUGAGCAAUGAAUUUGAUCGCUACUAUGCUGAUUGGAAGGGCGCCAAGGUGCGUUUCGUCAAUCUGACAAAGAAAUUCACUUCAAGUGUUGCUCCACCUGUGCACGUUGAAGUUACUCAGGCUGAGGCAUCUGCUCAGCCUACUAAAGAAAAUGCCAGCACCGCUGAUGACAAUCAGGCUACUGAAGAAAAUGAGAGUGCCAGGGCUAAUGACUCCAUUCCAGCUGCUGAAGAUAUUGCCAGGGCAUCCACUAGUGGUGUGCCUGAAGAAAGUGAACAAAUCAGGACAACUGCAUCAGUUGUGCCUGAGGAAAAUGAACCAAAGUCCUCUGCACCUCCUGCGCCUACACCAACUUCGAUUCUUCCAUCUGCAUUAGAUGUGAAGAAGCCCAAGGCUAUAGAACAUGCAGCUGUGAAGAAAAGGAAGGCAUCAACUUCUUCAAAUUCUUCAGCUCCGAAGAAGAUGAAGACUCUGAUCAGUUCAAUUGACAAUCCAAUUGAUGUCGUUCCAGUCACAUCUAUGCCAUCAAAGGACCUUGUUCCAUUUGGUGAAGAUUAUGUGAUUCCUGAUGAAUCAGAUGGAGAAACUCCUUCUGCUGCUUCGACAGAGCAGUUGGACGAAGAAAUUGAAGUGGAUGAGAUCCCUUCAACCCCAGUCAUUUCCUCACCUUUGCCUCAGUUUACUGCUGAAGAGGCAGGUGUUGAAGAAAUUGAAGAAGAGGAUGUGGACAUUGGUUGUACCACUCCUGUUCUCAAUGGUGAAUUUUGGGACAGUCAACAUCCCAACUCUCCAAUGUUCACUCCCCUUCAAGAUAUUCCUCAGUCCCCUGCCGCCAUUGAAGUGCAAAUGGGAUUUGAAGAACCUCAUGCAACCCCAAGUGUUCAUGAAGAAAUUCCAGCCACUAGUGCUGAAGAUAUUGUCAAUGAAGAUUUGACGACCCAGGCUGAAGCUGCUGAAGAGCCUGAAAUUCCUCAGCCUGAGAAACCUGAGAUUGCGAUUCCUGAAGUAGUGCUGCAAUUGACUGACACUCCUCAGCCCAAGCCAAAGGAUCCUUUCUCCAGAAGGCAAAAAUUCAAGGCUGGUGAUUUCUUUGGCGAGCACGUAUUCUUCACGGAAUUCAACCCCUAUGACAAUGCUCGUCUUAGAAGGAAGCGUUUCUGGACUGCCAGCCAGGCCAACUUCUAUUCCUUAAUGCUUUUCAACAAGGACAAAGUCUUCGAUCAUGAGCAUAUUCCUCAUGUGGACAUGGAAUCCAUGCCUUGCUUCUCUCAAGUCCUCAGCAUGACUCAUGACGCUGGCUUGCUCAAUUUCUGCUCUGACAUAGUUGAUUGGAAUGAAGAGCUUAUUCUUCAGUUCUAUGCAACUUUGCAUAUCACAGGCGAUGCUGCUGACGUCAACUCAUGGGUGUUGGAUUGGAUGACCGAAAACACUCAUUACAAGGCACCAGCCUCUGAAUUGCUUCGUGCCUUACCAAUCAGUCCUCCACCUGACGGUGCUCGUUGUCUGUAUGAUGAGCCUGAACUCACUGGUCAUUAUAUGCAAGUGCUCAUGAAGCCGCUGAAUCCAGGACAAGCUCCAAGGACCAAAUUCCUCGUGAAGGAAUUGCUCUAUGUGCCCAGAACCAUCUACCGCAUUCUGACGAAGACCAUGAGUCCCAUCAAAGGCCAUGACUCAUCCGAUGAAGAAAUUAUCGGAGUGAUGAAGAAUAUGCUUUUCAAUAUCAUGCAUGGCAUCCCCAUAAAUGAGCACGAUUUCUUCAUGAGGACUCUGGCAAAUGUUGCACUUUCACCAUUUGAGCUGAAGCCUUACGCGCCGUGGAUCAUGAGAUUCCUCAGAGCAAGGUCUUCACUCAACUACAAGGUUGAUUUUCAGAAUCACCUCAGCUACUUGCCCCCUAUUGAAGUCCUCAAGCGGACAAUUUCCUCAUCUGAUGAGAAGGGCAAGUCACCAGCUGUGAUCGAUGAAGGCAUUCGUCCAUUGGAUGGUCAGUUCCGCAAAGCUGCAUCUUACUCCACCAAUGAUGACUCUGCCACACAUGAUUCUGCUGCCAAUGCUACCAAGACAAGUCCUUAAGCUACUGCUCCUCGUGUGCUGGCUGAUCGUGAACUACUGAUAAGUCUUCACCAGAAGGUGGAUCACAACCACAAGUGGGUUAAGCGUCAGUUUGGUUCUAUUCUUCACAACAUGACUUCCACACAUAAUGCAGUGAAGAAAAACCACUACUACCUCCAUGAAGUGUUUGAUCGCACCUGGGCUAUUCUGUCACAUCUAUAUGGUGAAGAAGAUCUGAAGCAAAUGGGCUUCAAGGAAGACUUUGACUGGUCUGCUCCUCCUCCGAAGAGAUACAAGAAGGUCAAGGUUCCUCCCUUGGUGGCCAGCUCAUAUUCUUCAUCGCGCGACACGGACAAGCAUGAAGACUUGGACGACACUGCAGCAGGCCCUACAACGACUCAAGACCCUGACAACACUGGCGCUCCUCCAUCCACAUGAUAUUCUUCAGGGGCGUUAGUCCUAAGUUUCAACCCUUUUGGUCAUUCGAUGACAAAGGGGGAGAAAUUUGAGUUAGUCUUCAAGCGGGUCUAUCCUAUAUGGGCAUUUUUUUUGCUAAGUUACAACUCUCGUUCUUCUGAUGACUUUGCUGGAUUGAGUUGUAAUCUUAAACUCUAUGGUGACCUGAUACUUUUGUUGUGUUCUUCUGCAUGCUUAUUCCUCAUUAAUGUUAAUGCACGCAUGCUGAAUUACAUCAGUCACCAUAUUUCAUCAUGCAUUUCAAAUUCUUCAUAUUAUAUAUCAAAUGCGUGUAUGAAUUACAAGAUAUAGGGGGAGAUCUCCAUGAUUAUACUCUUCAAGUGUGCAAUUGCUUCAAAAGCAAAAUUCCUCACUAUGCACAUCUUCAGGGGGAGUUCCUCUAUAUCUUCCAAUCAAAUUCCUCAACAUAAGUAUCUACACCUCAUAUAUUUAUCCCCGUUGAAAACUUAACCUAUAUUGUCAUCAAUCACCAAAAAGGGGGAGAUUGUAAGUGCAUCUAGUGCCCCUUAGUGAUUUUGGUGUAUUGAAGACUUAUAGGUUAAGGGACUGAUGCGUUUGUGAGUGUACACAGGUAUAUAAGUCUAUGAGGAGUUUGAUAUUUACAGAGAAAGUCGACCCCUAAAAAUGAAGUUCUUCAACUAAAGACUCUGGAUUUCUGAAGACUUUCUGAAGACUUUGAAAGUGAAGAAAUUGGUGUGACCUUGAAGACUUGGUAUUUAUUCAAGGAACAUGAAGCGUGAAUAUUUUUGUUUUUAUAGUUUCAUUUUCUCUUUCUUGAGUCAUACGAAACACCGUACUGUUAAAGGGGGUCGAGGAAGUACUAAGGAAAAAUUUCCAUGUGAUGCUCAACUCAAAAUCCUACACCUACCAAUCCCUUCGAGUGAAGCCAUUGGAAAUCUCAUACAGUUCAGUCAUAUUCUUCAGUGAAAGAGACGAAGUUCUUCUGGUCUUUGAGGAAUUUGUUCUGACUGAGGAGUUACGAAUUCACCAGUGUGAAUUGCCUACACAGUGAGGAACAUGAUAGCCCUGGGAAUUUUGAUAGUCAAAAUUCCGACCGUUGCUGUGCUAUGCGCCAGCGGUUCCAAAAUAUCUACCCACCUAAUGGUCAUAUCAGACAAGGGCAUUUAUGUCUUAUCAUUUCGGGCUGCUCCCUAGGCUAUAAAUAGCCGCCCCCUUCAACCACUAGCUGGUUGGCUGCUCCAAGAGAAACUGACACUUGUCAUUUGAGAGCAACCCAUCCUCCAAGGACUUUGAGCGAAAAUCAUCAAGUGGGGAAAACCCAAAAACCCAACACCUACAAACCCAAAGUGAUUAAGCAUCACUGAAGAGAUUGAUCCUGCGUGGAUCUGACGCUUGUUUCCUUUGAAGACUAUGCUUCUUCCAGACGGUUAGGCGUCAAGGUCUAGAGCAUCCAAGAGGAAUUGUGGAUCGCCGAGUGACCAAGUUUGUGAAGGUUCAGAAGUCACCUGAAGACUUACCACGAGGGAUUGGGCGAGGUCUGUGUGACCUUAGCUCAAGGAGAAUACGGUGAGGAUUGUGUGUCCGAGACUGGGUGUCCUCGAGUUUAAAUACUCAGCCGCUCCAACCAGAUGUACAACUGAGACAACAGUUGGAACUGGUCUACCAAAUCAUUGUCUUCACCGAGCUUCCUGAUUCUAUUUCCUCAACUCUUUCAUUUCCUCAUGUAUGUUGUUGUGUGCCUGUUCAUAUCUGUCUGAAGACAUUGACUGAAGACUUUCUCAAUUUCCUCAGUUCUAUUUCUUCAGUCCGCUCGUCUUCUUCCUUGUGUUAUCCUGUGUUUACGCUUUCUGUACUCUGUGCUUGUCUUCACUUCAUCAUGAUGACUGUGCUUGUGUUCUGUUAUGUUCACUUCUGAGUACUUAUUCCGCUGCAAGUAGUUCUUCAUUUAGGAAUUUCCUCACCAGCAAAUUCCUCAGUGAAGAAUUCAUAAAAAUCGCCUAUUCACCCCCCUCUAGUCGAUAUAACGCACUUUCAAGAUCUUUAUCGGUCGAACCGCAAUGUGAACAUAUGAUAUUCCCUUUGUCAUCGGUAUGUUACUUGCCCGAGAUUCGAUCGUUGGUAUCUUCAUACCUAGUUGCUCGUUACCGGCAAGUCUCUUUACUUGUCCUGUAGUGCAUCAUUCUGUAACUAACUCAUUAGUCACAUUGCUUGUAGGGUUUCAUAUGAUGUGCAUUGCCGAGAGGACCGAGAGAUACCUCUCCGAUACUCAGCAUGGCAAAUCCUAAUCUUGAUCUAUGCCAGCCCAACAAACACCUUCGUAUAUACCUGUAGAGCACCUUUAUAAUCACCCAGUUAUGUUGUGACGUUUGAUAGCACACAAGACAUUCCUCCGGUGUUUGGGAGUUGCAUAAUCUCAUAGUCGGAGGAAUAUAUAUUUGACACAAAGAAAGCAGUAGCAAUAAAACUGGGCGAUCAUUAUGCUAAGCUAAAAGAUGAGUCUUGUCCAUCACAUCAUUACACUAAUGAUGUGAUCCCAUCUAUCAAAUGACAACUCAUGUCCACGGCUAGGAAACUUAACCAUCUUUGAUCAAUGAGCUAGUCUAGUAGAGGCACACUAGGGACACGGUGUUUUGUCUAUGUAUUCAGACGUGUAUCAAGUUUCAGGUUAAUACAAUUCUAGCAUGAAUAAUAAACAUUUAUCAUGAAUAAGGAAAUAUAAAACAACAACUUUAUUAUUGCCUCUAGGGCAUAUUUCCUUCACAUACCCCCUGAUACUACCCAUAGAUUCAUCAAAAUAAGCAAACGACACAAAGAAAACAGAAUCUGUCAAAAACAGAAUAGUCUGUAGCAAUCUGGAAACUUCGAAUACUUCUGUAACUCCAAAAAUUCUGAAAAAUUAGGACAACCUGGGCAAUUUGUGUACCAAUCUUGUGCAAAAAGAAUCAGAUCAAACACACGCUCCUGUGAAUUAUGAAACUUAUUUUUCCUGGGUGCAAAAGUUUCUGUUUUUCAGCAAGAUCAAACCAACUAUCACCGUAAGCCAUCCAAAAGGUCUUACUUGGCACAAACACUAAAUAAAACACAAAACCACAUCUAACCAGAGGACGGAUGAAUUAUUCAAAGCAAAACAGGAACAAAAAUUAAAUUGUGUUGCCUCCCAACAAGCGAUAUUGUUUAACGCCCUUAGCUUGGCAUAAAAACACGUAUAGAUCUAGGUAUUGUCAUCUUUGGUAUGCAAUUCUUUUCUCAUCAAAUCCUCCAAAAUCGUCUUAAUAAAUCUAUCCUUUCCUUUAUUUCCUUUCUAGUAGAUGAACUUAAAUCAUGAAAAGGACUUUGACUAGUGAUUUUGACAUUCAUAAACCCGUAAUCAGGAUCAUCACCAUAUAUAUCAUCAUACAAAACACAUAUCUCGUUUCUAACAGGUUCUUUCAUCAUCUUAUUCAACCAAUCCCUGUUAAAUCCUAUAUGAAUUCCCCUUGUAAUCGAAUCAAGUUCUUCAUAGGUCUCAAGGUACAAAGUUUGAGAGAUUUCUAAAUAGGGAACUCUCCUCCUAAGAUUCUCACUAUAAGAUUGAUAAUCCCUAGAUUCCAAUCUACGCAUAGUUUCUUUAUCAUGAAGUAUAACUUCAAUCGGAGGGUGUGCAACAUCUUUAUUAUAAAAAGCAAAAAUAUCCCUAGCUUCUUGUAUUGUAAAAUCAAAUUCUCGCAUAAGGAUGGUAGCAAUGUUUUUAGCUAUAGGAUGAUUAAUGGUGGGGAGUUCGUAAAACACCUUUUGCAAAGCCGGAUGGAUGUGCACAAAUUUUCUUUAUAAUUUCUCAACGAGCAUAACAAUGGCAUCUGCAUAGCAAUUUGUAUCAAGAAGAAUAGAUUUUUUACUCAUAGGCAUAGAUCCCGUACAAUCGGAGAAUUCUUAAAUAACGCUUUUCCCAAUAAUAUUACCUUCCCCCACACGAUUUUUUUUUGUUUUGUAAUUAGGAGGAGUUUCAGUUUCGUGAUCCAAAGAACAGGAUCCAAGUUUUUCCUCAAGAUUCUCAACGAUAACCUCCCCAAAUUCAGACAUGAUGACAACAAACCAAUCUAGCAAACAAGCAAACAGAAAGCAAACGAAAAGACGAACGAAAGAGGGGCGAAGAAAAAGGGCAAAGAAAAAGGGCGAGGAAAAGGGAGAAUCUUUUCGAAAAUUGUUUUAGAAGUGGGGGAGAGGAAAAUGAGAGGAAAAUGGCGAAUAAUGUAAUGCACGAGAUGAGAGGUUUAUGAUGGGUACUUGCUAUGUCUUGACUUGGCGUAGAUCUCCCCGGCAACAACGUCAGAAAUUCUUCCUGCUACUUCUUGAGCUUGCGUUGGUUUUUCCCUCAAAGAGGAAAGGGUGAUGCAGCAAAGUAAAGAUAAGUAUUUCCUCAGUUAGAGAACGAAGGUAUCAUUCCAAUAGGAGACAACGCACAAAUCACCAAGACCUGCACAAACAAUCAAACAACUUGCACCCAACGCGAUAAAGGGGUUGUCAAUCCCUUCACGGUUACUUGCAAAAGUGAGAUCUGAUAGAGAUAGAUGAAACUAAACAAAAGGUAAAGUAAAUAUUUUUGGUUUAUAGAUCAGAAAGUAAAAUGUUGCAAAAUAGUAGAUUGAAAACUUAUAUGAUGGAAAAUAGACCCGGGGCCAUAGGUUUCACUAGUGGCUUCUCUCAAGAUAGCAAAUGAUGCGGUGGGUGAACAAAUUACUGUCGAGCAAUUGAUAGAAAAGCGCAAAGUUAUGACGAUAUCUAAGGCAAUGAUUAUGAACUAUAGGCAUCACGUUCGUGUCAAGUAGACCGACUCCUGCCUGCAUCUACUACUAUUACUCCACACAUUGACCGACUCCUGCAUGCAUCUAGAGUAUUAAGUUCAUGAAGAACAAAGUAACGCAUUAAGUAAGAUGGCAUGAUGUAGAUGAAUAAACUCAAGUAAUAUGAUGUAAACCCCAUCUUGUUAUCCUCGAUGACAACAAUACAAUACGUGCCUUGCUGCCCCUACUAUCACUGCGAAAGGACACUACAAGAUUGAACCGAAAUCUAAGCACUUCUCCAAUUGCAAGAAAAGCCAAUCUAGUUGGCCAAACUAAACCGAUAGUUCGAAGAGAAUUACAAAGAUAUCAAAUCAUGCAUAUAAUAAUUCAGAGAAGAUUCAAAUAAUAUUCAUAGAUAAGCAGAUCAUAAAUCCACAAUUCAUCGGAUCUCGACAAGCACGCCGCGAAAGAAGAUUACAUCUGAUAGAUCUCCAAGAACAUCGAGGAGAACAUGCUAUUGAGAAGCAAAGAGAGAGAAGAAGUCAUCUAGCUACUAGCUAUGGACCCGUAGGUCUGAGGUAAACUACUCACGCUUCACCGGAAGGGCAAUAGAGUUAAUGUAGAAGCCCUCCGUGAUUGAAUCCCCCUCCGUGAGGAUGCCAGAAAAGGCCCCUAGAUGGGAUCUCACGGGAACAGAAGGUUGCGGCGGUAGAAAAGUGUUUUUCGUGGAUGCUUCUGGUGGUUUGGGGGUAUUUGGGAAUAUAUAGAACGAAGAAUUAGGUCAGGGGACUCACGAGGGGCCCACAAGGCAGGGGGCGCGCCCUACCCCCCUGGGCUCACCCUCACCCCUUGUCGCUGCGUCGUGGCUCUUCCGACUUGAUCUCCAAGUCUCCUAGGUGUCUUCUGGUCCAAGUAAAAUCAUCGCGAAGGUUUCAUUCCGUUUGGACUCCGUUUGGUAUUCAUUUUCUGCGAAGCUCAAAAACAAGGAAAAAAACAGAAACUGGCACUGGGCUCUAGGUUAAUAGGUUAGUCCCAAAAAUAAUAUAAAAUAGCAUAUUAAUGCAUAUAAAACAUCCAAAACAGAUAAUAUAAUAGGAUUGAACAAUAAAAAAUUAUAGAUACGUUGGAGACGUAUCACACGCCCGCGGGUCAUUGUUCGUGAGCGCUUCCUCGAGCCACCGCCACUUGGCUGAUCCGCCCGCCGCCACACCCCUCAUCCGAUUUGAGGAUUUCCCGGAUCUUCCUCCACUGCGGUCGCCGAUGAGGGCCUACCUCGGCAUCCGGCAGCGGAGUGGGGGUCGUGGGUGACGGAAAUCACCGACCGAGAGAUCCACAAGCGAAAGGUUGGCUCGUUCCACAUGGCCAAGCUCGCGACCAUGGAAUACAACCGGUGGUAGGUCCGGUUCCACGGCCGCGAGGCAAGGCCCAACUUCCCCUUCGGCACAGCUCCGGUCCAUCUUGUCCUGCCGGAGCAGGGGGUGGUCAGUGCUCGGAUGGGGCGGGAGGACCAAGAGGCGAGGGAGUGCCUCGAGGCUAAGGCUGCCGCUGAGGCCUACAUGGAUGGGCUCCGCCGACAGUACCGAAGCUCGUGGAGGCGGAGCGGGCGAUAUUCGCCAUCAAUGACGGCGAAGUUAUCGUCGUCUCCAACGAGCAGGGCGACAAGGAGGAGAUCGACGUCGAUGAGUGGCGGAGCAUCUUGCCCAACGACAAUGACGACGGCACCGGCCCGGACCCAGCUCGCACCGAGGGUGACCUCACCCAGAAGGACUGGCUCGACCUCCACUUUGGCCGAAUUUAGUUUAAGUUUAGUUAUAGUUUAAAUUUAUGCUUAAUGUUCGGUUGCAAGGACUUUCUAAGUUGAACUUUAUGUUUAAAUGCAUCAUCUUUCGCUUGAGAUUUAAUUGAAUUUGUGCAAAUUUAAUUUUUACUCCACUAACUUUAAGGGAUCAACUAGGUCCGGUAAAAAUUUAGUAAAGUAUAUAUACUCCACUAAGGAAUACCUACCAUACAUCCCCAUGGGCAAGAAUGUUGAACGUUCGACCACAUACACACGCACGCACGCAGCAGCCAGGGAUGAAUAUAGGGGUGACCAUGGUCACGUGGUGCGACGUACGAGGAGAGAAUAAGAUAGGAUCAUGAGGGCAUUUCUAACUGAUCCCCCUCCCAUCUCCUCACGUGACCAGGGUGAGGUGAGGGUCCUAUAUUCAGCCGCUGGCUGCUGCGUGGGGGUCUGUGGUCGACGUUCAACAUUCUUGCUCGUCGGGGUGUAUGGUGUGUGGUAGGUAUUCUUCAACGUCCCAACAUUCCAAGUGUGCGCUCCCGGUUUCCCUCCAAAAAGCUAGCCCGUGCACACCGCACCAAACUUGCAUGCUCAAACCCCGGUCCAGAUUCGAGAAGCGUCCGUCCGUGUCCUGCUAGGACGAUAUGACGAGCAACAAACUUGUAAGGUGAGCGUCAGGAAACUGUCCUGUCGAUUUUAUUGUGAAAAAUGAAAUCGCAUGGGAGAAAGGAGCAGCGGAGCACCGCAUCGGCUUGGAAAAGAAACCUCAGUGAACAUGCAACGACGACGUGACGACGCUUCGGUCUAGGAAGAAAGGACCCGAGCGCCGACGAGCGACCGACCGACCGACGUCUAAUCGCGGGGGCAGGCUUUAGGGGCGCUUUCGACGUCGGACUGUUGCAUCGGCGCAUCACACCACGCCACGGAAUUCUGAUCCCGGGAAGAUGCGCUCGUGUCGCGUCGCAUCGCAAGCAAGACGGGAUUCCCUGCCCGCUCCGACGGAAACGUCUCCACUCUCCGCCCUUUUGCGUCCCUGCUGACCUGGGCGCAUGAGGCUUUAUAUCUUUCGGAAUGUCCAAAGCAUCCGCCAUGUUAGCUGCAAGUCGGUGCCGAAAGCUCAUGCCGUGCCGACAGUGGUGGCGCCAUCGCCCAUCGCCGUAUCGCCUUCCAGCCCCGCCCCGCCCCGGUGCGUCCACCCCAACAGCAGCCACGUCCGUGCGGCGGUUGGCGUUCAAAGCAGGGGAGAUUUUCUCCUGCGCACGGACGCGACCCAAGCCCAACUAACUUGCUCCAUCUGCCCCAAUUUUUUGGAGGUGUCCGCUUUGAGUUUUCUCGUCAGAUGGUAGUACUACUGUGCUGCCUGAAAGUUGCUUUACUGUCUAGAAACUUUUGUCGCAUCCAACAAGUGCUCAAGAAAGUGCAGGGCUUUCUAUGUUGCAAAGUACUACAGUACUACUAAUAAACUGCAUCAGGAAGACACUAACUGAAAUGCAUCUUGCUGACAGAACAGGGUUAAAGGGAACAGAUGGCGCCGGUAGCACCCAGAACAGGGUCAAUUGUACCACAAGAGUUCCCAGCCCACUGCUUCCAACCAUCCAUCUGUUAGUUACACGAGCUAAAUAAAUUUUACUUGUGAAAAUAACUCAAGGGAGCUAGGUUGCCCACAGGUUCUUCCUAUCCAACUGUUAAACUUUACAGGAGCAGAAUAAAAUUUACUUGGAGAAAUAACUAAAGGGACGAUGACAGGUUCUUCAUCCAGCUGCUGUCGAUCUUUGCAGGAUCAAGAUAAAAUUUACUUGGGGAGAUAACUCAAGGGACGACGACACGUUCUUCAUCCAGCUGCUGUCGAUCUUUGCAGGACCAAGAUAAAGUUUACUUGGGGAGAUAACUCAAGGGACGAUGAUAGGUCGUUCAUCCAGCUGUUGUCGAUCUUUGCAGGAGCAACAUAAAAUUUACUCGGGGAUAUAACUCAAGAGACAGGGAUGGGUUCUUCGGGUUCUUCAAUCUUUGCACCACAGGAAUACCUCCUUUUCAUCAUUAUAGCUCUGCUUCUGUACACUGUUGGACUGGCGAUCUUGACCAUCCUUCUCCUCGGGGCCUUCGAAGCACUCGGUCUUCUCUUAGGCGUCGAGUUUCCAGCAUGCCUGCCGUUCUUCACGGGCGUCGAGUUUCCAGCUUGCCCGCCGUUCUUCACAGGCGUCUUGUCAGAGCACGCUUCGUCUCCGCAGAGAUGGGCGAAGUGACCACGAGGAUUCACAUAACAGUAUGAUGAGCUGACAAUCCCUACGACCGUUGACGGGCGCACUGUUUGCAUAAAAUCCUCUAACUCUGCGAAACAAGCAUGGUCGGUGUAUGGCAGAGUGUAGGAAUCCUUCUCAAAUAGCUUUGGUGGUGACGAGGGAUCAUAGUUCAUCUCUAUUGUGCCUGCGCCCCGCCCUCGCCCUUUGCAUCUGGUAGACUUUGCUGCUGCUUUACCACUGAACUUAGCCUUUCCCUCACAGUUUCUCCAUAGCCAAGUGUUGCCUGAAGGCAUGAUUCCUAUAGUUGGACAUACUGUGUUCAAAGCUUCAAGACUCUCGAUGCUCAGGCCGUACCUUGGAACAGCCCGGACCCUCGUCAAGCUGGUCUGGGUGGUGAAGAUCUCUCGAUUGUCAUCAAUGCCUAGAAGGUGCAUUGUCAGUAGGCGCUGGGGCCAGACCCAAAUCUGACGACGAAAGUGAGAAAAGAAUAUUUUAGCCUUCAGAAGAAGAAGAUCAAUGUGUAGCGUUUAUAAAGCAAAUACAAUAGCAGCGUGUGUAUCAAAGUUCUGACGCGUGUGUAUCAAAGUUCUGACGGCUACACAGAAUUUUAGACUAAAGAUGACUGAGCAGGGGUGAGAACUUAACACCAAUACUGAAGCACGUUUUUCUUUAGGGGACAAUACUGAAGCAAGUUUAUGUUGAAUAAAAGAAUGGAAAUAGGAAAUUGAAAACAUAUCAGGAGUAGAACAUUGAGCAUGUCAAGGAAAGGAGGCUUAGCACCUUCGUUUGUAGUGCUCUGGCUAUAUAAAGCAAGAGGUCUUCUUUGCCAAGAGUGUCAAUGCCAAGAAUAACUUCAUGAUCAGGAUGAGCACAAAUAAGGUCAACUAUCUGCACUCAACACUAAGAAAAUAUUAGUAUAAAACAUCCAACAUAGCAUGAUGGGGAAUUUAAUGGUCACAUAUGCGAAGAAACUUAUGUGUAGGCAACUUACUUACAAGUUGGGAAUGACAUCUUAUUGCAGGUAAAUUAAUUAGCACUAGAACUCUAGACUAUAUCAGAGCAUCCACCCCAUUAGUAAAAUAGAAUGUGGGGCAGCUAAUGCUGAACAUGAGGAAGUACAACAGCUGUUCAACCAAAUCCGUGCCCAGUUAGUCUCUGUCCCCUUGAAGAUGCAGCUAUAGAAAACAAUAUGCCACUGGUUUUCACCUUUGACAGACAUUUGGCUUGAGUGGCAUCAACAGGCUAUACCAAAUUUCUGACUGAAAUUCUAUGAGCUCCAUGCGAAAUGCCAAAAGUAUUGAUGUAUAAGCAGCAUACUGUGUAUAUGAACUAGGUUGUAACUGACAGUUGCAACUGACACCAAAGGAUGGACACCGAUAAUUGCAUAUCAAAGUGCAUCUGCUCAUUCUGGAGACUUCACUGCUAGAAUGGGGUCAGGCCUCCAAGGCAUUCUAAGAAUUGUUUUCCUUAGGGAUCCACAACACAACGUAUAAUCUUCCUAGUAAUUUUUCUCUGAAGAAAAAUUCAGACUAGCAUGGACUACGGCUGGCUGAAGUGACAGCGUUGCAUACACAGGGCAGAAAAUGCCACACUGGACCGAAUCAAAUCUGACCUGCUGAGCGACGACGCGGCGCGGGGGGAAGUUGAGCGACGGGUGGCAGUAGGUGUUGUCCAAGUAGAGCACGUCGACGGUGUCCCCGGCGAGCGCGUCGAGGAGCGCCUUCUUCGCGGCCCGCGCCUUGUCGCACCCCAACUCCCACCGGAAAUCCCCGGUGUACAGCCUGCACCCGAGGUCGCCGCGGAAGAGGAACAUGAGCGAGCCUGCACACACGGCGCGCGGCCACGGAUCGAUCAGCGGGUUUACCGAGCGGCGGCAAGCGAGCGCAUCAGGAGAGGAGGGUUUGGGGAGGGGAGGCGUACCGGGGCAGUGGAUGGCGGGGAGGGCGGUGACGUGGAGGGAGACGGUGCGCCCGGAGAUUGGGGAGGUGAGGGUGAGCGAGGCGGAGGCUCCGGCGGCGAUGGGGCGGAGGAGGGAGGCGUCGACCCCCGGGAAGCGGGUGGGGAGGAGGCGCGCCGUGACGGGGGAGCAGUAGAGCGGGCCGUGGCGCCAGCCGGCCGCCGCGCCGAGGCCCCGGGUGUGGUCCUGGUGGAGGUGCGUGAGGAAGUAGGCCUGGCUGCCGCCGCUGAACUUGUCCACGGACACCAGCCCCUCGUCCAUGGCCGCCGCUGAACUUGCCGCCAAUGCGCCGCGGCGGAUUUUGGGGGAUGUUUUUGCCUUUCUGAGGAAGAGGGGAGGGGAGGCAAGAGACGAGACGCGCGCCAAAAUGAAAACGCUAACCGCAUGUGGCAAUUGUCACAGAGAAGCAUGUCAACAUUUUCUUUUUUUUUCUUUUUUGAGAGGCAUGUCAACAUUUUCUUCUUCUUUUUUUUGAACUGCAUGUCAACAUUUUCGAAACCGCCAUCGGACAGGUUUAUGUCAUCAAGAAUCAACGUUAAUAAUCACUCGUGUAAUGAGACUGGAUAUUAGAUUAGUCGUCUUUUUCAUCUUCUCCCUUCCUUUUUCACCUGUAUGUAUAUCUACUCUUUGUUGCUCUAGCGUGUCAAAAUGAAAACACUAACAGCAUGUAUCGUGCGGUAAAUGUCACAAAGAAGCAUGCCAACAUUGCAUUUAUUUGGACACAAACAUGUACAUACAGAAACCUAGACAGCGUCCAUUACCCAAGUAUCCAAUGCAGAAAACUACCGAAGAGUACAACAGGUACACAUAUUACAUCCGGAAGCCUGGACUUGCAAAACAAGAGAGGUUCAUAAAAAUACAGCGCAUGCACACAGCAAUAGUUCAGUCUACUUGCAGUUGACAACAUAAAACAUCACACGACGCAAACCAACAAAGACCCCCGCCACCUGAGAGCCCGGCUCUAAAGCCUGCCGGCAAAGCCAGUUUAUGAUUUGCGCGCGCUCGUGCAGUGGAUGCUGGAUACAGAGUUGCUUCGCUCAGGUACACAGGGAUCGCCUAGGUACACAAG
rnacentral:lncRNA from 1 species